UAGCUGGUAUUUUGGUGCUAUAUCGUUGUCUUAUGGUGUUUCGAGCAUCUGUCCUAUAUCGAAUUGCUCUAUUGAUGGCAUUGUUAUGUCAAUGUAUCUCGUAGAUCCAUGUUUUAAACUUGGAUAUCCUAGUGCUACGUUUGCUUGAACUGUGACAGCUGCAGAAGAAAUAACUUAUAAGACCUCUUAAGUGGCCUGUUAGUAUUCUAUCACCACUUCAUUUUUGCUGCCUUGGUUCAGUCUGGAUGUUGGAGAACAUAAGUAUUAUUAGCUAUCAUUUCACAGUCCAAAGACGUAUGAUUCGUAACGUUUAUAGAGUGCUCGUAUAUGCCCCUAAUAUAAUGUCCUGGUUAGUUGAAAAGUGUCAUUGUUCUCCAGGCCAUGGUUAGUUUUAUUGGAAACUUUUCAUCCAUUAUGGUACUUAUAAGUUGUAGGUGCAAAAUAUAAAGAUGCCGCAGAUGUGUCCCUUUAAAUUCCGUUUGAUUGUUCUCAACAUUUAUUGUUGCACAAUUACACUUUCAUGCCAAUAUGUGACAUGGAUUUUCCCACAUGAACAGUAAAAUCCGAAAAUAAGUAGCAUAUCAUUUUAUAUAUAACCCAUAGUAAAAUCCACAAUUACACACANNNNNNNNNNNNNNNNNNNNNNNNNNNNNNNNNNNNNNNNNNNNNNNNNNNNNNNNNNNNNNNNNNNNNNNNNNNNNNNNNNNNNNNNNNNNNNNNNNNNNNNNNNNNNNNNNNNNNNNNNNNNNNNNNNNNNNNNNNNNNNNNNNNNNNNNNNNNNNNNNNNNNNNNNNNNNNNNNNNNNNNNNNNNNNNNNNNNNNNNNNNNNNNNNNNNNNNNNNNNNNNNNNNNNNNNNNNNNNNNNNNNNNNNNNNNNNNNNNNNNNNNNNNNNNNNNNNNNNNNNNNNNNNNNNNNNNNNNNNNNNNNNCCGGUGAUAGUUACCCUAUAUGUUUCAUAUACUACCAUGUGGUAAUAUAUAUACUACUUUAUCAUUUUAAAUAUAUUCAUAUACUAUAUCUAAGAUAUUUCAAAGCAAGUUACAUGAAAAAAUUAUAUAUGAACCCAUAGUUUUUGUUAUAUUUGUGAAAUACAUACAUAUUUGUACGUAAAAAAGAGCAUACUCAAAACAUGGUAUAUACUAUCUAAAAAUUAGUAUAUAUACUACCUAAUCAUUGUUAUAUACUACAUACUACACGUACAUACUCUUAAUUUUGAUAGAUACUACAUACAACAUACAAAACGCAAGUGGUGGUAACUACCACUGCUUGUAGGAAACAUUUGUCCUAUAUAUAUAUAUGUGUGUGUGUUAUAGCAUCCGUGGAGGCCUACACACAGACACACGAAAGAACAGUGCUAAAAAAGACCAUUUGGAGCACUCACUUCUAUUUGUUGGGAUAAUCAGUUUUAUGCCCUUAUUGGGUCCCACUCGGCUAUUUUACCCUUAAUUUUCAAAAGCCACCGGUUUUGUCACUCUUCUUAUGCUUUUGUCCUUUGACCGUCAAAUUGAAAACUUCAUAACUAAUCCAUACUAAAUUAGAAAAAUGCAAAUAAGAUAUCAAAAUAUUUGAAAAAACAUCAUCUAUAUGUCAGUGUCAUUUGCAUUCAUGACAAAAGUGUUGGAAAGUGUCCAUCCAAGUUUUAACUCUUAUGAUACAACCAUGAACAACAAAAUCUAAAAAAAUUCAAAAAAUAAAAUAAAAAAUGGUGACAAAGAAUGACAAAUGUUUUAAGUGCUUGUCAAGUUUCAUCAGGGAAUGACAUUCGUGGAAGUCGUGGCAAAAAGAAAAAACAAUCAGCACUCCAAAAUAGAUUGUUUUUUUCCAUGACUUCCAUGAAUGUCAUUCUCCGAUGAAAUUUGACAAGCACUUAAAACAUUUGUCAUUCUUUGUCACCAAAUUUCUUUCUGAUUUUUUGAUUUUUUUAAAGAUUUUAUUGUUCAUGGUGGUAACAUAAGAACUAAAACUUGGAUGAGCAUUUUCCAAUAUUUUUGUCAUGAAUGCAAAUGACACGACAUAUAUGUGAUGUUUUUCUGAACAUUUAUGUAUCUUAUUUGCAUUUUUCCGAUUUAAUAUGAAUUAGUUAUGAAGUUUUCAAACUGACGGUCAAAGGGCAAAAGCAAGUACAAGACGAGCGAAGUGACUUGGACAGAAAUGGUGGCUUUUGGAAAUUAGAGGUAAAACAAUUGAGUGGGACAUAACUAGGGGCGUAAAACUAAUUAUCCCCUAUUUUUCUUGGCACAGUCAACUAUGGAUGCCUUUUUGUGGCGAAAUUUUGCAUGAUGUUAGAACAAUUGUUGAUGUUCAUCCAAAAAAAUAGGGCUGAAAAAAAAGCUCAAAGCUCGCGAGCUAAACGAGUAGCUCGUGACUCGGCUCGAAUUGACUUGAACUCGAACAAUAACGAUUCGAGCCGAGCUUUAAUUUAAGAUUGUUUACAUGAUGAGUUAAACGAGCCGAUCUCACAAGUACUCGUAUAACUCGUUAGGCUCGGUAAAAGAAUCCGUGUUUCUUGACGGGUAGUAAAAAACAGCCACCAAACACCUUGCGUCCAAGCACAAGGCCCAACUGCUCAAGGCCUAGUCAUGUAGGAGGCUCACACGUACAUGACCAUAUAUGUCCAUGUUAAAUUCCCAGUUAAUCUUUUUUGUUGUAUUCUUAAGAUUUUUAUGUUCAUAUCUUUAACGAGCUUAACAAGAUAAACGAGCCAGCUCGCGAGUUAUACGAGUCGAGCCAAUCUUAGAUUUGAGCUCAUUAUAGUAACGAGUUGAGUCGAGCUAGCUCGUUAAUGAAACGAGUUUUAGCGAGUCGAGUCGAGCUGGCUCGACUCGGCUCGAAUUCCACCCCUACAAAAAAAGAAUCUUUUCUUUGUUAUUUUUUUUACAAAUCUCUACUACUUUAAAAAAUGUAGUGUUGCCUCUCCCCCCUUANNNNNNNNNNNNNNNNNNNNNNNNNNNNNNNNNNNNNNNNNNNNNNNNNNNNNNNNNNNNNNNNNNNNNNNNNNNNNNNNNNNNNNNNNNNNNNNNNNNNNNNNNNNNNNNNNNNNNNNNNNNNNNNNNNNNNNNNNNNNNNNNNNNNNNNNNNNNNNNNNNNNNNNNNNNNNNNNNNNNNNNNNNNNNNNNNNNNNNNNNNNNNNNNNNNNNNNNNNNNNNNNNNNNNNNNNNNNNNNNNNNNNNNNNNNNNNNNNNNNNNNNNNNNNNNNNNNNNNNNNNNNNNNNNNNNNNNNNNNNNNNNNNNNNNNNNNNNNNNNNNNNNNNNNNNNNNNNNNNNNNNNNNNNNNNNNNNNNNNNNNNNNNNNNNNNNNNNNNNNNNNNNNNNNNNNNNNNNNNNNNNNNNNNNNNNNNNNNNNNNNNNNNNNNNNNNNNNNNNNNNNNNNNNNNNNNNNNNNNNNNNNNNNNNNNNNNNNNNNNNNNNNNNNAACUCCCCCACCUGAAUCUUUGUAUUGCAAUCUCGCCCAACGCCCCACACAGUUUUACAUCCAUAUAGUGAGGACAACAUCAGAGAAAUUAGACACAAGGAAGGAGAGAGGAAAGCCUAUAGAAGGUGUCUAGGGGGGAGAGAGCACGCAACCAGACGUCGAUGUGGCCGCGCUAGCUCGGUCCGAAGCGCCCCCGCCAAAGGACCGCGUCGUCUCGGCACGCCUUCCUGACGGCGGCCAGGGGCAUGACCUCACGCUGGAACACCACCGCGUUCCGCCGCUUCCACAGGUGCCAACAGCACAGGAGGAUGAAGGCACCCGGCGAGGCGUCGCCGACCGCCGGGGAGACGUCAAAGAGAUGCAGCUCCCGCACGGAACUGCCGGAGCUGUCGAGGCCCAGCGCAGCCCAGAACUCACGCGCAAACGGACACCCAAAGAUCAGGUGGUCCGGUGUCUCGAGAGGGGCGACGCAAGCAGGGCAGCCAACCCCGCUUAGCUCGAUGACGUGCUUCUUGAGAAGAUUGUCCCGUGUGUGAAUCCUCUCCAGCGUCAGCAGCCAAGUGAAGAAGCGAACACGCGACGGAGCCGGCGAGUGCCAGAGGAAGGCAGCGUUCUCCAUGCAAACACCACCCAGGCGUGCAAGCCGGUACGCCUUGCGAGAGGCGAACCCGCCACGGGGAGCGGAACAGAGCGCCACGACGCGGCGGUCACCAACCUCCUCCCCACUGUGCACGCCGCGCCCAAUGAGAGGGAGGAGGGUGAGGCGCUCCCGGGCAGCCACCGUCGUCAGACGAGGGACUAGGAAAGCAUCCAGUCCCCGAGACCAAACCGCGAACACAGAGACUUCCGGCCGCGUUGUGUGGGAGGCGAGCGCAGGGAGGGCACAACGCAGGGGCCCGCAGGGGAGCCAGUGAUCCUCCCAAAAAGAUGUCUUUCGUCCGUUCCCAACCUCGACACGGGUGAGCACGCGGUAGAGGGGCAGGAGCCCGCGCAAGCACGCCCAAUGGUCGCUGACAAGGGGGGAGUCCGCCCCAGAGAGGAGCGGACGGUCGUCCGGGGCCCCACAGACCCAUUGAGCCCAUCGGGACGGUGUCUCCGCGUGAAGGCGGUGCAGGAUCUUCAGGAGGAGGCAAUCAUUUUGGGUGGCGGGGUCGCGAACCCCGAGCCCUCCUUCGAACUUGGCCCUACAGGGCUCGCUCCCACGCCACCAAGCAUUGCGCACCGGAGGCAUGCUCCGUGGCGUUCCACAGGAACGCACGGCGAAGCGACUCCAGCGCCCGGAUCACUUUCGGCGGGAGCUUGAGAGCCCCCAUGGCGUACGACGGGAUCGCAUCCAGCACCGCGUUGAUGAGCACGAGCCGCCCAGCCGGGGAAAGAAGACGAGCGCGCCACCCAGUGAGGUAGCAGUCCACCUUGGCGAUGAGGAAGUGGAAGUCUGCCAGGGUGAGCUUGGAGCAGGACAAGGGUAGCCCGAGGUAGGUUUGGGGGAACCCCUCCAGCCUGCAUCCAGUAGCGGACACCAUCUCCGCCAAGUCCACGCCGUCCACAUGCAUGGGGACCAGCGUACUCUUGGGGUAGUUGAUGACUAGGCCAGUCGUCGCGGCGAAGUCGUCGAGGGUGGUUCGGAGCCGCCGAGCCGCCGCGAUGUCCGCACGCAUGAUGAUGAGCGUGUCGUCCGCGUACUGGAGCACCAGAGGGGGAGCCCCGUUGACCAGGGGGUGUUGCAUCACGGUGUCGCACCGGAUCAGGCGUUGGAGCACGUCCGCCACAAGCAGGAAGAGGUAGGGGAGGCGGGGUCUCCCUGCCUGAGACCACACCGGAGGGGAAACCACCUCCCUCGCACACCAUUGAGGAGGACGGCGGAGCGCGAGGAACGAAAGACCGCGUCCAGCCAGUCACACCAGGCGACCGGGAAGCCGCGAGCGAGCAUGACCGCCCGCAGACUCGCCCAGUUGAUGAUGUCGAAGGCCUUGGCAAAGUCCAGCUUGAGGACAAGGGUCGGGGCCACCCACUUGAAACAGCAUUGGACCAUCUCCGCCGUGUAGACGAAGUUUUCGGUGAUGCUCCGGCCAGGAAUGAACCCCGACUGAUCUUCGUCAAUGAUGGCGGCGAUCUGCCGCUGCAGCCGAGUGGUGAGACCCCGACAGAAGAUCUUGAUGUCGUUCUGAAGAGAGACCGGGCGGAAACCACCAAGGCUGGGCACACCGUCGCCUUUAGGCAAGAGGGCGAUGUACGCACUGUUGAUCGCAUCCAGGCGGGUAGUGCCAGUGCAGAUGUCGUCGAACAGGCGGGCCACGUCAUCCCGGACCGAUGGCCAGGCGGCAUGGUAAAAGGCCGGCCUGAUCCCGUCCGGGCCGGGGGCACUUGUGCGGUCGAGGGAGAAGGCCGCAGCCUUGAUGUCCUCCGCGUCGAAGGGGGCCACCAGAGCAGCCCCGUCGAUGGGCCGGGCCCCAGCGUAGAGGCCCAUCAAGUCUAAGCGCCAGGUGGGCUGCGAGUCACGCCCCAGGAGGCCGGAGUAGAAGCCCGGGAGGGCCUCGGCCUUGGCUGCAUGCGCCAUGACGUGCGUGUCGUCCACGUCCAAGGCACGGACGCAGUUACAGCGCCACCGGUGGGAUGCCUGUGCAUGGAAGAAACGAGUGUUCUCAUCCCCCUCCCGCACACCCCGGCACUUGCCCCGUUGCUUCCAGUACGCCGCCUGGCGCCGGAUAGCCAUGUCGAGGGCCAAGCGGGCGUCCGAGUGAAGGAGAUCUUCGUCUGCAGAGAGGUAUCUAGACUCCUUGAGGAAGUCCAUCAGAUCCACAAUAAAAACAUAGACAUUUUGGAAAGUAGGGACGAAAUGGUGGAGCCGUUUCCAGCGUUUGGCUGCGGACCGGAAGGCUUUCUUGCGAGAAGCAAGGUCCCCGGCAGUGUCUCGAGCACGUCUAGCCCCCGUCCAAGAGGGAAUGGUGGUAGAAAGGAAGAGAGGGUCCGAGGGCCACGCGUUCUCUAAGAAGAAGCGGGAGGAGGAGGGGAUUUUGGUGGAGGCAGAGACCACGAGCGGGACAUGGUCACUGGCCGUGCAGGCGCGCGAACUGAGUGAGGAGUCCGGGAAGCGGGCAUCCCAAGCAGCAUCCCAAGCAGCAUUAAAGAAAGUGCGGUCCAACUGAGCCAGCGUCGGAGGAGAGCGUUUGUUAGUCCAGGUGUAGAGGCGGUCUGCAAGGGGGAGCUCGAAGCAGGCUACAGAGUUGAUCAGAGAGUUGAAGGCAUUUGCUCGAGCGGCGUCGAAGUUGGCAUUGUUCUUCUUGCAAGGGGAGCGGAUGAGAUUCAAAUCGCCCACCACCAACCAGGGGAGGGUGAUGUUCGCGGCCACCUCGCGAAGGUCAAGAACAAAGUCGUGGGUGAACGCAUGAUCCGCCGGCGCGUAGACGUUAGUGACCGUGAACGCGAGAUCGAUGGUGGUCGACUCAAGCAUGACCGAGAGCGAGUAACGAGAGGAGGUCGAGACGGCGAGGGCGAAGAGGCGAGGAUCCCAGGCCGUGACGAUCCCCCCCCGGCUCCUGUCGACGCCCUUGGCAUAGAAGGUGGUAAGAGGACUGGGAAGGAAGGAGACGAGUUUACGCGCGUCCAGGGAGGCGAGUUUGGACUCUUGAAGGCAAACGAUGCAGGGGCUCGCGAGGCGACCGCCGUGCGAACGCGAUCACAUUUGUCAGGGUCCCCAAGCCCUUGAACAUUCCACGACAGACACGAGAGGGAGAGGAAGUGUAGGAUCUAGAAGUAUGUCUAGAGGGGGGGGGUGAUUAGACUACUUGACCAAAUAAAAACUAUGCCUUUUCCCAAUUUUAGUCUUUGGCAGAUUUUAGCAAACUUAGCACAAGUCAAGCAAUCUUAACACAAUUCAAGCAAGCAUGCAAAGAGUAUAUGAGCAGCGGAAAAUAAAGCAUGCAACUUGCAAGAAUGUAAAGGGAAGGGUUUGGAGAUUUCAAACGCAAUUUGGAGACACGGUGAUUUUUGAGUCGUGGUUCCGAUAGGUGGUGCUAUCGUACAUCCACGUUGAUGGAGACUUCAACCCACGAAGGGUAACGGUUGGGCGAGUCGACGAAGGGCUCCAACCAAGAAGGGUCCACGAAUAAGCAACCUUGUCUAUCCCACCAUGGCCGUCGCCCACGAAGGACUUGCCUCACUAGCGGUAGAUCUUCACAAAGUAGGCGAUCUCCUUGUCCUUACAAACUCCUUGGUUCAACUCCACAAUCUUGUCAGAGGCUCCCAAGUGACACCUAGCCAAUCUAGGAGACACCACUCUCCAAGAAGUAACAAAUGGUGUGUUGAUGAUGAACUCAUUGCUCUUGUGCUUCAAAUGAUAGUCUCCCCAACACUCAACUCUCUCCCACAGGAUUUGGAUUUGGUGGAAAGAAUAUUUGAGUGGAAAGCAACUUGGGAAGGCUAGAGAUCAAGAUUCAUAUGGUAGGAAUGGAAUAUCUUGGUCUCAACACAUGAGUAGGUGGUUCUCUCUCAGAAAUGGUAAGUUGGAAGUGUAGGUUUGUUCUGAUGGCUCUCUUUAUGAAUGAAGAGGAGGUGGAGGGGUAUAUAUAGACUCCACACAAAAUCUAACCGUUACACACAAUUUACCAAUCUCGGUGGGACCGAAUCAACAAACUCGGUCAGACCGAUUUAGUAAACAAUGUGACCGUUAGGGUUUUCGGUGGGACCGACAUGCAACUCGGUAGGACCGAUAUGGUUAGGGUUAGGGCAUAACGUAAUAUCGGUGAGACCGAUUACACAAACUCAGUGAGACCGAUUUUGGUAAUAAGCUAACCAGAGAGUUAGUUAGGUAAACUCGGUGUGAUCGAUUUAUUCAUCUCGGUGGGACCGAAAUGUCACAAAAAGGAAACAGAGAGUUUGCAUUGUAAUCUCGGUAGGACCGAUUACUCAAACUCGGUGAGACCGAUUGUGAUAAUGGACAUACACGGAGAGAUUACAAUCCCAUCUCGGUGAGACCGAGAUCCCUAUCGGCGAGACCGAUUUGCCUAGGGUUUGUGGCAGUGGCUAUGACAUUUGAACUCGGUGGCGCCGGAUAGAAAGAAUCGGUGGGGCCGAGUUGGACUUUAGGUUUAGGUCAUAUGUGGAUGUGGGAAAGUAGUUGAGGGUUUUGGAGCAUAUCACUAAGCACUAUGAAGCAAGAAACUCAUUAAGCAACACCUCAUCCCUCCUUGAUAGUAUUGGCUUUUCCUAUAGACUCAAUGUGAUCUUGGAUCACUAAAAUAUAAAAUGUAGAGUCUUGAGCUUGAAGCUUGAGCCAAUCCUUUGUCCUUAGCGUCUAGAAGGGGUUCCACAUCUUUUAGUCCAUGCCACUUCAUUGUUGAACUUAUCUGAAAAGAUACUAGGUAGAAGUGUUAGUCCAACAAGAGAUAUGUUGACAUUAAUUACCAAAAUCACCUAGGGAGCACUUGUGCUUUCAAUCUCCCCCUUUUUGGUAAUUGAUGGCAACAUACAUCAAAGCUUUAGAUAGAGGAUAACUAAAAUAACACGUAAAGCCUUGGAAGGACAUGUAACAAGCAUAGGCUCCCCCUACAUGUAUGCAAUCAUGUGAAUAUGGAAUAUAGGAGCAUGUGAAAGCAUAAUCAUGACAGAGUAGGCAAUGUGUUACAUGUAUCUUGGCUAUAUGCAUCAGAGCGAAGAAUUAUGGGAAAUGUACCUUCAUGCUCAUGAGUCCUUCUUGCAAACAGUAUGUACAUCAGCAAGAAUUUCUCAUAUACAUGAUUGUGAUGCAUAUACUUACCUUGUGGUCUUGAGUUGGCUUAGGAUGAAGUGAACCUGUGAAAAUAAGGUUAGAUAACACAGAUGCAUCUACUAGCUAGAGCAAAUGAGAAGAAGCCACAAGGAUACCAAGACUGGGAUGACAUGUAGAGAGUGAGUACCAAGUACCACAUUGGAUUAGACAUGUCCCCAAAGAAAAAGUUAUGCAAUGAAUUUAAAGAUUUUCUUUCCCUUGAGUAUCUUGCUCCCCCUAAAUCUAGCAUGGGAUAUUGGGAGAAGAUAGGGAACAGAAAACCAGAGCUCAAGAAAGUAAAUGAAUAGAGCUAAAGCAACUAAGCACAUAUGAACAUGUCUUUCCCUUCUAGAAGACAUGUAACAUCUCUCCUCUUGAACACCAAGCAUCUGGGAUCAUUGAAGAUUACUCUUCUCUUUCCUUGAGUAUUUUCUCCCCCUAGAGAUAUGAUAAAGAUGUGAUCUCUCUCAUAGAUAAAGCUUUUGAUGUGAUCUCUCUCUCCCCCUUUGACAUCAAUUUCCAAGAAGGAUCUUCUGGAUUUGUUGUCACAUGGGUUUGGUCCUUGAGUCACAAGUCAAAGCAGCAAGAUAAAUAUGAUGCUGGUAGAGGACAAGAUUCAUUGAGUGGAGCUGGAUCAAAAGAAACUCAGAAAUAAGUGGCAGAGUGUUUUUCCUGUAGUGAGAUCGGUAGCACCGAGUUGUAUUCUUUGGUAGCACCGAGAGGUUUCGGUGGGAUCGAAAAUGACAAACCGGUGGAACCGAUUUCAUCACAGAGAAAACACUUGUCACCUCAGCUCACUAGACAAGUAAGGUCUCACAAGGAUUUGCAAGGAAUUGGAUGUAGGAAAUGCAGAACAGACAGUAAACUAGAAGAAACUCUAAAAGAAAUCUAGAUGAAGUUUUUUUGAAAGGGGAAACAAAUAUGCAAGAGACAAAUGCAAGAGCACAGAAAAGAACACGAGAGAACUUUAUCUAGAAUUGGUCGGUGACAAAGUCACCUAUGUUAGAGUAUAUUGACUUAGGAGUCAAGUGAGCUCACUUGAUCAUAGGUCAUACUCAUCGUUUAAGCUCAAAAUGGGGUUACCACUUUUCAUUUAAGCAUUUUGAUGUUUUCACAUCUUGUCGAGUUGCUUUAACUCAUGUCUUGGAGUAAAGCUUGUCUAAGAUGGAAAAACAUAACUUGGGUGGUGAUGUUGACCGUUCAUGUAGUUGAACUUGUGUGGGUUGCUCAAGGUUGAUGUAGCUCAUCAAGAGUUGGGAGCACCACUUGAAAAUUGAGUUCGUCCUGCUACAUGGGUUAGUUGUAAGGAAGAGCACUUGUGUAUCCAUGAUGACUGAGGGAGUCCUGGAUUAGGGGGUGUCCGGAUGGCCGGACUAAGACCUUUGGCCGGACUCCCGGACUAUGAAGAUACAAGAUUGAAGACUUCGUCCCGUGUACGGAUAGGACUUUCCUUGGCGUGGAAGGCAAGCUUGGCGAUUCGAUAUGAAGAUCUCCUCCCAUUGUAACCGACUCUGUGUAACCCUAGCCCUCUCCGGUGUCUAUAUAAACCGGAGAGUUUUAGUCCAUAGGACAAACAACAAUCAUACCAUAGGCUAGCUUCUAGGGUUUAGCCUCUCUGAUCUCGUGGUAGAUCAACUCUUGUACUACCCAUAUCAUCAAUAUUAAUCAAGCAGGAGUAGGGUUUUACCUCCAUCGAGAGGGCCCGAACCUGGGUAAAAACAUCGUGUCCCUUGUCUCCUGUUACCAUCCGCCUAGAGGCACAGUUCGGGACCCCCUACCCGAGAUCCGCCGGUUUUGACACCGACAUUGGUGCUUUCAUUGAGAGUUCCUCUAUGACGUCACCUUUAGGCCCGAUGGCUUCUUCGAUCAUCAACCAUGACACGGUCCAGGGCGAGACUUUUCUCCCCGGACAGAUCUUCGUAUUCGGCGGCUUCGCACUGCGGGCCAAUUCGCUUGGCCAUUUGGAGCAGAUCGAAAGCUACGCCCCUGGCCAUCAGGUCAUAUUUGGAAGCUUAAACUACACGGCCGACAUCCGCGGGGACUUGAUCUUCGACGGAUUCGAGCCACAGCCGAGCGCGCCGCACUGUCAUGAGGGGCAUGAUCUAGCUCUACCGCCGGACAGCGCCCGGAGCACCGCUCAGGCAUCCGCUCCGACCAUUAGCUCGGAGCCGACUGCGCGAGUCGGGGACGGACGGUUGGACGCCGCCCCAGGAGCCGCAAUCUCUACGGCGAUAGAGCCGAAUACUAGCCUAGUCCUUUGUGAGGUCUUUGACUCCAAGGUGCCGGACUCCGUUCUGGACUCCGGAUCUUCCACACCCCUUCCGGUCGAACCCAAUUGGGCCCCGAUCAUGGAGUUCACCGCUGCGGACGUCUUUCAGCACUCGCCCUUUGGCGACAUCCUAAAUUCACUAAAAUCUCUCUCCUUGUCGGAAGAGCCCUGGCCGGACUAUGGUCAGCAAGGUUGGGAUGCAGACGACGAAGAAAUUCGAAACCCACCCACCACCCACUUCGUAGCCACUGUCGACGAUCUAACCGACAUGCUCGACUUCGACUCCGAAGACAUCGACGAUAUGGACGCCGAUGAAGGAGACGACCAAGAACCAGCACCUAUAGGGCACUGGAAAGCCACCUCGUCAUAUGACAUAUACAUGGUGGACACCCCAAAAGCAGGGGAUGGCGAUGAAAAAACAGAGGACGACCCCUCCAAGAAGCAACCUAAGCGCCGACAUCAGCGGCGCCGCUCUAAAUCCCGCCAAAGCAAAAACGGCGAGUCCGACACUGGAGACAACAACACCCCGGACAGUGCCGAAGACGACCCCCUCCAGCAGAAUUUAGCGCAGGAGGACGGAGAAGACAGCCCUCAUGAGAGAGCGGCAGACAGGGAGGUUGAGGACGACAAUUACAUGCCUCCCUCCGAAGACGAGGCAAGCCUCGACGACGACGAAUUCGUCAUGCCAGAGGAUCCUGUCGAACAAGAGCGUUUCAAACGCAGGCUUAUGGCCACGGCAAGCAGCCUCAAGAAAAAACAGCAGCAGCUUAGAGCUGACCAAGAUUUGCUAGCCGACAGAUGGACUGAAGUCCUGGCGGCCGAAGAGUAUAAACUCGAACGCCCCUCCAAGAGCUACCCAAAGCGCAAGCUGCUACCCCAACUAGAGGAGGAAGCAACUAAACCUACAUCACCAGCGUAUGAUGCGCCCGAUCGGCCACCCCGUGGCCGCGACAGAGAGGCCUUUCGGCCCUCAACUCAAGCCGCACCCCGACGCCGCUCAAAAAAUACCAGAGCACGGGGAAACGCAACAAACCUGCGAGACACAUUGGAGGAUAAGGCAAGGCAAACAAGAUCGAUCUACGGAUCACGUGGGCGCCCCACGUCACGCGACGAUAACCGUCACGCCGGAUAUGAUAAAUACGGCCAGGCCGAACACAAUAGACAAAGCUCAUCCGAGCUACGUUGCGAUAUAGCCCAGUACAAGGGCACCGCACACCCACUAUGUUUCACAGACGAAGUAAUGGAUCAUCAAAUCCCCGAGGGUUUCAAACCCGUAAACAUUGAAUCAUACGAUGGCACAACAGAUCCUGCAGUAUGGAUCAAGGAUUAUCUCCUUCAUAUCCACAUGGCCCGUGGUGAUGAUCUACACGCCAUCAAAUACCUCCCGCUCAAGCUUAAAGGACCAGCUCAUCAUUGGCUUACCAGCCUGCCAGCAGAGUCAAUUACUUGCUGGGAGGACCUGGAAUCGGCAUUCCUUGACAACUUCCAGGGCACUUAUAUGCGACCACCAGACGCUGAUGACCUAAGCCACAUAAUCCAGCAGCCAGAGGAAUCGGCCAGACAAUUCUGGACACGGUUCCUAACCAAGAAAAACCAAAUAGUCGACUGUCCGGACGCAGAGGCCCUUGCAGCCUUCAGGCACAACAUCCGAGACGAAUGGCUUGCCCGGCACCUAGGACAGGAAAAGCCAAAAUCUAUGGCAGCCCUCAUGACGCUCAUGACCCGCUUUUGCACGGGAGAAGACAGCUGGCUAGCUCGCAGCAAUAACAUAACCAAGAGCCCUGACAACUCAGAUACCAAGGACAACAAUGGCAGGUCACUUCGGAACAAGCACAAGCGCCGCAUUAACGGCGAUUAUAUUGAGGAUACGGCAAUUAAUGCCGGAUUCAGAGGCUCUAAACCCGGUCAGCGGAAGAAGCCAUUCAAAAGAAACCCUCCGGGCCCAUCCAGCUUAGACCGGAUACUCGAUUGCUCGUGCCAGAUACACGACACCCCCGAAUAACCAACCAAUCACACCAACAGGGAUUGUUGGGUGUUCAAGCAGGCAGGCAAGUUAAGUGCCGAAAACAAAGACAAGGGGCUACAUAGCAAUUAUGAGGAGGAGCCCCGGUCGCCGAACAACAGAGGACAGAAGGGCUUCCCCCCGCAAGUGCGGACGGUGAACAUGAUAUAUGCAACCCAUAUCCCCAAAAGGAAGCGGAAGCAUGCUCUCAAGGACGUCUAUGCGUUGGAGCCAGUCGCCCUAAAGUUCAACCCAUGGUCCUCCUGCCCAAUCACUUUUGAUCGAAGGGACCACCCCACUAGCAUUCGUCAGGGCGGAUUCGCCGCAUUGGUCCUAGAUCCAAUCAUUGACGGAUUUCACCUCACCAGAGUCCUCAUGGACGGCGGCAGUAGCCUGAAUCUGCUUUAUUAGGAUACAGUGCAAAAAAUGGGUAUAGAUCCCUCAAGGAUUAAACCCACAAAGACGACCUUUAAAGGCGUCAUACCAGGUGUAGAAGCCAGCUGUACAGGCUCAGUUACACUCGAAGUGGUCUUCGGAUCCCCGGAUAAUUUCCACAACGAAGAGUUAAUCUUCCACAUAGUCCCAUUCCGCAGUGGCUAUCACACCCUGCUCGGACGAACCGCAUUCGCAAAAUUCAAUGCGGUGCCGCACUAUACAUAUCUCAAGCUCAAGAUGCCAGGCCCUCGCGGAGUCAUUACGGUCAAUGGAAACACCGAACGCUCUCUCCGAACAAAGGAGCACAUGGCGGCCCUGGCGGCGGAAGUACAAAGUAGCCUCUCAAGGCAAUUCUCCAAUCCGGCUGUUAAACGUCCGGACAACAUCAAGCGCGCCCGAAGUAACCUACAACAAAACCGGCUGGCACGUUCCGAGCAAGCAUAGCAGUGCGGCCCCAACCCCAGCCCUCGCCAGAUGGCGAUCGUAGUACCAUGCGUACAUAACUACGCUCUGGAAAUACCAUGGGCAUAAGGGGAGGGGCAUAACCACGGUACAUCCAGAAUGCGGCUCAACCGCACUAGGGGCUCCAUAUUCUGUCGUUUCUUUUUUUAUAUACUUUCAGGACCCAACUAUUCGGAAGGCAUGUCCGGCAAUACACUCGUCGAACACACGAUGCAACAGCCAGGGAGACAACAAGCCACGUCAAAUGUCCAGGUGGUCUCUAUAACGAGCUAAAUACCUGUUUUACUUAAAGUCUCGCAGCUUACCCCUGGAGGGGGACAUGUUAAAUAAUCCCAUCUCUUUCUUAUUGCACUAUUUGUAUCGUUCUACUUUCAUAGCAGCCCCUUUUUAAUAAACAAUACAUAGCUCUUAUCUAUUAUUGUAUUCAUUUAUUUUUAUACAAAUAUGUUCAGUCAUGACAUUAUGCAACCGUACACUUUGGUACGACCAAUACACCAGGGGCUUAAGUACCCCAUAAUACAGUGUGAGAAGACCGAACACUCAUGAGUGCGGCACCCCGAACUUAUAACACUAUAUGCAUCGGCUCCGAAUCAUGUCUUGGGUCAAUAGUUGGGUUUGCCCGGCUCCCAUGUUUUGGUACCUUACGUUCCGCAAUGUUGGCUAAGGUAGCGCUGGGAGAACUACCGCGAUUGUGCCCCAAUUGAGCUGGGUUAACACCUCAGUAGAGAAAGCUAAAACUGAUCAUCCUGAUAGUGCGAGAGACCGGUCGCUGUUUGAGAGGUUUUUUGAGUCCCUAAAGACUUAUGCCGCUUAGAGCGAGGAGCCGGAUUUAUCUGGCCUAGGCGUGGAUAGCGCCCCGAACUCGGUCUUCCGAAUACUAGGGGCUUCGCCGAAAUUUAAAAUUAUAGAAUUCUAUGGCUAAGUGAGAGUGAUAAAGCAUUAUAAGUCCGAUGGUCUUGUUCGUUGUGCUGAGCGCCUCCCUAGAUGGACCCAAGAAUGGGAACAAGAGCGCUCAGGUUUAUCCCGAACACCCCAGCACUCGUGGCAUGGGGGUAGAAGCCGACGACUUGCAUCUCUCAGAUUUCAUAAACGGCCGCACAGAAGGUAAUAUUUUAAAUUCAAAAAGCGUUGCUUAGCGCAUAUGAACAAGUUUUCAGCGCACAGGAUAAACACGAGCGAGUUUACUCAAAAAUUACAUCCAUGGUACAUUCCUCCGCCACAAGACGGGCACCCUUCAGGACGCCCUCAUAAUACAUCUCGGGCCCGCGAUGCUCCUUCCCCUCCGGUGGCCCAUCCUUCACCAGCUUCUCAGCAUCCAGCUUGCCCCAGUGCACUUUAGCACGGGCAAAAGCCCUGCGGGCGCCCUCGAUGCACACGGAGCGCUUGAUAACUUCAAGCCGUGGACAUGCAUCCACCAGCCGCCGCACCAACCCAAAGUAGCUCAACGACAUGACCUCCCCAGGCCACAGCCGGCCUAUCAGGCCCUUCAUGGCCUGUUCGGCUGCCUUAUGAAGCUCGACCAGCUGCUUCAGCUGGUGGUCAAGGGCACCGGGUGUCCGACCUCAGCAUACUGGGACCAGAACACCUUCUCGGUCGAGCUCCCUUCCUCGGCCCGGUAGAACGCGGCGGGUCGGAUGCACUGCGGGGCAGAUCUGCGAAUGCUCCUGGGAAACUCCGGAUUCGGGUAAGUAACAGGUAAUUUACUUUCACAUGCUUGCUUUGCAUAAAGAAUGCCUUAGCCGUCGCAAUCUUUUUCAUCGCCUCAAUCUCCUGGAGGGCUUUUUGGGCUUCGGCCUUGGCAGAUUGGGCGCUUUCAAGAGCCGAGGCAAGCUCAGACUCUCGAGUCUUCGAGUCAAGCUCUAACCUCUCAUGUUUUUUUCACAAGAGCAUCGAGCUCUUGCCGCACCUCCGCCACCUGCGCCUCUUGCUUCUCUCGCUCUAAGCGCUCCAUGGCCGCAUUAUCUUCGGCCUUGGAAAGCGCUUCCUUCAGGGUUGCCACCUGGGUUGUGGCCCUUGCAACAUUCACGUUGGUCCUGUCACUAUUUGCAACCAGGUAUUUCUAUAUACAUUUACAUAAGGUAUUACAUACCUUCCUUGUCCUCGAGCUGCUUCUUGGCACGGCCGAGCUCGUUCUCGAACCGCUCGAGGCUCUGCUUCAAUGCGUCAACCUCCGCAGUCAGUGCGGCAGAGGUCAGCAGCGCAGCCUGCAUUCCCAUAUUGACAUAUUUAUGUUAGACUCCUGCGUAUAUCUUUUUUUUAGAUCCUUAGUCCGGUUUUCUUUCCGAACACCAAACUGAGCAUCAGGGGCUACUGUCUAUGCGGUAACAUUUUUAUAUGUUUUGAAUACAUACCUCAAAGCCUGUUAGCAGGCUGGUACAUGCUUUGGUCAGCCUGCUCUUGGCGGACUGAACCUUCUGAAUCACCGCACUCAUAACAGUGCGGUGCUCCUCGUCGAUGGAGGUGCCGUUAAGCACCUCCAGCAAAUUGUCCGGCGUCUCCGGUUGGACGAAGGCGUCGGUGUCGUAGGCUUGCCCUUCUUACGAAGGGGCCGCCUGCCAGACUCCGGAACCACUGAAGGCUCCAGAGCGGUGUCCGUCCCAGGGCCGGACUUAGAUCCCUCUGGGGCUUUACCCCCUUUGGGCCUGGAGUCCGGGAGGUCGCCUCGCGGCGCCUCCAGGACCACCUCCUUCUGGUUUAGUCCCUUUUGGGACUCCACCUCGGCGUCGUCCGUGGGGACAGGGGAGGAGGCCGUCGGAAGUGAAGCGCUAUUCACAUCUGACGAAUCUAGGGAGCCGCUCGACGAAUCGCCGAGCUGAGCCUUGGGUGGACUGCAUAAUUAAAUUCGGCGUCAGAAGGUACCGUAUAAUAGAGGAGCGCCAUAAGUUAUUCUGAUAUCCAGAUACUUACGAUUUUGCCAGGGGCUUGACCCUGGAUGGGCAUUCCUCCCUACCGUCUUCGGCAUUGGAGGCGUAGUCUGGCAGAAGGGUCCUCCCCUUCUUGGACCCUCCGGCCUCCCCAGUUGGGGCGGCCUUCCUUUUCUUUCCUCCCCCCGCUGGAGGGGGAGAGGCCUCUUCUUCCUCCUCGUCCUCUGAGGCGGAGGGCGCUUCGGGGUUGUCAGGCGAUGAGUCCGACACCACCAGGCGUCGGGAACUCUUUCGAGUCCCCGUGGCCUUCUUCUUGGCCUUCUUCUCUGGCACCACAUGGGGUGCCGGAACCGGCAGCUUCAUUAAAUGGGCAUCCGCUGGGUCUUCAGGCAAAGGAGCCGGACAGUUGGUCCGUCUGGCCUUCUUCUGCCAGUCCUGUUAAAGGGAUGGGAGUUUAGAUCCCGCAUAGAAUCAAAACUAUGGAAAACAAAUAGCCCAUAAUGGGAAAAUUGAGCUUACCGCACUGGCUUGACGCUUCGCGCAGAAUUCGCGAUCCUCGGUGAUGGGAGGGUGAACCUCGGAGCUAUUGAAAAGCACCUUCCAAGCAUCUUCGUGCGUUGUGUCGAAGAGCCUGGACAAAGUUUGGUGCUAAGCCGGGUCGAAUUCCCACAGAUUAAAGGCACGUCGUUGACACGGGAGGAUCCAGCGGAAGAGCAUGACCUGGACUACGGUGACGAGUUUAACCUUCCUGUAUAUCAGAUCUUUGAUGCAGGUUUGAAGUCCGGUCACCUCUGCCGAAUUACCCCACGACAGGCCCGCCUCUUUCCAUGAGGUGAGCCGAGUGGGGAUGCCAGAUCGGAAUUCAGGGGCCGCUGCCCAUUCGGGGUCACGCGGCUCGGUGAUGUAGAACCACCCGAUUGCCACCCUUUGAUGGUUUCCACGAAGGCGCCCUCGAGCCAUGUGACGUUGGCUAUCUUGCCCACCAUGGCGCCUCCACACUCUGCUUGUCGGCCGCCCACAACCUUUGGCUUGACAUUGAAGGUCUUCAACCAUAAGCCAAAGUGGGGCUGGAUGCGGAGGAAGGCCUCACACACGACAAUGAACACCGAGAUGUUGAGGAUGAAGUUCGGGGCCAGAUCGUGGAAGUCCAGACCGUAGUAGAACAUGAGCCCCUGGACGAACGGGUGAAGAGGAAAGCCCAGUCUGUGGAGGAAAUGGGGGAGAAAUACGACCCUCUCAUGGGGCCCAGGGGUGGGGAUGAGUUGCCCCUCAUCUGGAAGCCGGUGCGCGAUGUCGUCAGACAAGUAUCCGGCCUUCCUCAACUUUUUGAUUUGCCCCUCCAUGACGGAGGAGGCCAUCCAUCUACCUCCCGCUCCGGACAUGAUUGGAGAAGGUUGAGGUGAGAAGUGCGGACUUGGGCGCUGGAGCUCGAGUGCGCAGGAACGGAUAAGCAAAGGAGGAAGAAGGCGUAAAUGGAAAGGGUGGAUCCUUAUCCCCUUAUAUGGGCGUCCGAAACUAUGAGCCCCACCAGCCUAGUAAAACUCGCUUAUCUCCCAAGCGCCGCGAUUAAUGGCGCGGUUGGGUUAUCCACGCCCGUAUUAAUGAGAAUCCCGGAAUAAGGGGACACGAUCUCUGCUUUGACAAGACGUGCCAAGAAAACCGCCUCGCUAAACACGCUGAGGUGGGACAGUAAAACGUUUCGAACAAAGGCUUGGCUGUGGCAUGAUGUCACGCUACGAAAUGCGUCAGCAUAUUAGAUUUGUACGAUAUUAUUCUCUCUACGGUGGUAUGUGGAACUUAUUUUGCAGAGCCAGACACUAUCCUUGUGUUCAACAUCUUCUAUGAGGUAUUCGGAGGAGGAACCUGCCUUGCAAUGCCGAAGACAAUUUGCGUGCCAGACUCGUCAUCAUUGAAGCCUGGUUCAGGGGCUACUAAGGGAGUCCUGGAUUAGGGGGUGUCCGGAUGGCCGGACUAUGACCUUUGGCCGGACUCCCGGACUAUGAAGAUACAAGAUUGAAGACUUCGUCCCGUGUCCGGAUAGGACUUUCCUUGGCGUGGAAGGCAAGCUUGGCGAUUCGAUAUCAAGAUCUCCUCCCAUAGUAACCGACUCUGUGUAACCCUAGCCCUCUCCGGUGUCUAUAUAAACCGGAGAGUUUUAGUCCAUAGGACGAACAACAAUCAUACCAUAGGCUAGCUUCUAGGGUUUAGCCUCUCUCAUCUCGUGGUAGAUCAACUCUUGUACUACCCAUAUCAUCAAUAUUAAUCAAGCAGGAGUAGGAUUUUACCUCCAUCGAGAGGGCCCGAACCUGGGUAAAAACAUCGUGUCCCUUGUCUCCUGUUACCAUCCGCCUAGACGCACAGUUCGGGACCCCCUACCGGAGAUCCACCGGUUUUGACACCGACAAUGACAAUCAUGAAACUAAACAUAUUUGUCAAAGGAUAUGUGUGUAAGGAUUUGUGCUUCCUUGUCUUCAACCACCAUUAUGUAGAGACUUUGGAGAUGUUGAGAUUGCUCAAUUGCAAUCUCAUAGAUUUAGAUUCCUCCAAGUUCCUACAAAGGUUAGAUGACAUGCAAGAUGCAAAUAUAUCCAAGAUGUAAGUUUUUCAUCAUAAGAGAAAUACCAGGGAUUAGUCAUAGGCAUAUGUCUUGCAUGUAUCAAAUGGAGUUCCUACUCCAAGUUUGAAGCAUCAAUGAUAUUCAAUUCUCCUCUCAACCUGCAAAACACUUUCUCAUCAAGAGGUUUAGUGAAAAUGUCCGCUAAUUGUUUUUCGAUGCGAACAUGCUUAAGAUCAAUGUCCCCUUUAGCAACAUGAUCUCGAAUGAAAUGAUGACGAACUUCAAUAUGCUUAGUUCGAGAAUGUUGCACGGGAUUAUGAGCAAUUUGGAUAGCACUCUCAUUGUAACAAAGUAAUGGAACAUGUUUCACAUAUAUCCCAUAAUCUUUAAGAGUUUGGGUCAUCCAAAGUAAUUGAGCACAACAUGAACCAGCAGCUAUGUAUUCCGCUUCGCCGAUGGAUAAGGAUACCGAGUUUUGUUUCUUGGAAGACCAAGACACAAGAGAUCUAACAAGGAAUUGACAAGUACCCGAAGUGGACUUUCUAUCAACCUUGUCUCCGGCAUAGUCCGAGUCGGAGUAGCCAACAAGAUUGAAAGAGGCCCUCUUAGGAUACCAAAUGCCAAAAUUUGGCGUAUGAAUUAAGUAUCUCACUAUCCUUUUCACGGCCUUAAGAUGACAUUCUUUAGGUGCAUCUUGAUAUCGUGCACACAUGCACACACUUAGCAUAAUAUCGGGUCGUGAAGCACAUAGGUAUAACAAUGAACCAAUCAUAGAGCGAUAAACCUUUUGAUCAACCGGUUCACCAUCUUUGGUCAAAUCAAGAUGUCCACUAGUAGGCAUGGGUGUAGACAUACCUUUGCAUUCUUGCAUAUUGAACUUCUUGAAUAAGUCCUUAGUGUACUUCGUUUGAGAGACAAAAGUACCUUCCUUAGUUUGCUUGAUUUGCAACCCAAGCAAGAAUUUGAGUUCACUCAUCAUUGACAUCUCAAACUUCUCCGACAUUAUCUUUCCAAACUUCUCACUAAAAUGAGGGUUAGUUGAUCCAAAUAUAAUAUCAUCAACAUAAAUUUGGCAAACAAAUAAUUCUCCAUUAACCCUUUUAGUAAAAAGUGUAGAAUCAAUUUUUCCAAUUUCAAAUCCUUUUUCAAUAAGGAACUUAGUUAAGCAUUUAUACCAAGCUCUAGGAGCUUGUUUAAGACCAUAAAGAGCUUUGAGAAGUUUGUAGACAUGAUUGGGUUUCUUAGGAUUGAUAAAGCUGGGAGGUUGUUUAACAUAAACUUCCUCCUCUAUUUCACCAUUUAGAAAAGCACUUUUGAUGUCCAUUUGGUACAAGGUGAUAUCAUGGUGAUUAGCAUAGGCAAGUAAGAUGCGAAUGGAUUCAAGUCUAGCAACGGGAGCAUAAGUCUCACCAUAGUCCAUACCUUCGACUUGUGUGUAACCUUGGGCGACGAGACAUGCUUUGUUGUGAACUACUUGUCCAUCUUCAUCUUGCUUGUUGCGAAACACCCAUUUGGUACCGAUGAUGUUGUGGUUGUCGUCGAUCUUCUCAACCAAGGUCCAAACUUGAUUCCUCUCAAAGUUGUGUAGCUCUUCAUGCAUAGCAUUUAUCCAAUCCGGAUCUUCCAAUGCUUCUUCAACCUUCAUAGGUUCAAUGCUAGAGAUGAAUGAAUAGUGUUCACAAAAGUUAGCUAAACAAGUUUUAGAGCGAGUGAUUCUCCCGGUUUGGAUAUCGUUGUAGAUUUGCUCAACGGGAUGGUCUUUAGCAAUCCUUGCUCGAACUCGUGAAAGCUUUUGCUUGGGUCUUGGUUGAACAUCUUCUUCAUCUUGUUCUUCUUCUUGGUCUUCUUCAUUAUUGCGUUGUCGUUCUCUUGUCGUGGUGGAGAGGAAGGUUGUUGACGUUCUUGAUGUACUUCCUCGUUUUCUUCAUCUUGGUGAGUCCCACUUGUGGAUGCUUAAGUAUCAACUCUUGGUUCACCUUGUCGUGAGGUAGAAGCUUCCACUUGGAUGGACGAGGUACUCUCCUUCACUUCCGUUGGACGAAUCUUGCCAAUAGACAAGUCUUGGAUUGCUUUCGAGGGGUCUUUGUCUCCUACAUCAAUUGGCAAUUGCUCUACUUGCGAGCCGUUAGAUUCAUCAAACUUCACAUCUACUGUUUCUUCAACCUUUCAGGUGAAAUUGUUGUAGACACGGUAAGUGUGAGAGUUUGAGCCAUAAUCAAAUAGGAAACCUUCAUGAGACUUGGGAGAAAAUUUAGAACGACGAUGCUUAUCAAGAAUGUAGCACUUUGAGCCGAAUACUCGAAAGUAUCCAACUUGGGGUUUGUUACCGGUGAGGAGCUCGUAUGCCGUCUUGCCGAGUAGCUUGUGAAGAUACAAGCGAUUUGUUGCAUGACAAGCUGUCUCAACCGCUUCUGCCCAAAAGUUCUUCGGCGUCUUGCACUCAUCAAGCAUCAUUCUAGCCAUUUCGAUGAGCGUCCGGUUCUUCCUUUCAAUAACUCCAUUUUGUUGAGGUGUGUACGUAGCCGAGAACUCAUGUGAAAUCCCUUCUUAUUCAAGAAAGGUGUCCACAUUUGCAUUCUUGAACUCCAUUCCGUUGUCGUUGCGAACCUUCUUGAUCUUCACUUCACACUAAUUUUGAGCCUUCCUGGUGAAGUUUUUGAAGAUCUUUUGGACAUGCGAUUUGUCAUCGAAAAAUAAUACCCAUGUAAAUCUUGAAAAAUCAUCAACUAUAACUAGACCAAAAUAAUUUCCGCCGAGACUUUUGUAAGCGUUGGGACCGAAAAGAUCCAUGUGAAGUAGCUCAAGUGGCCUCCUUGUGGUCAUGAUGUUCUUCACGGGAUGCCUUCCUCCAACCUGAUUACCUGCUUGACAAGCACUGCAAAGUCUAUCCUUAUCAAAUAUGACAUCGUUAACACCAAGGAUAUGAUUCCCUUUAAUAAGCUUGUCAAGAUUUCGCAUGCCAACAUGACCCAAUUGUCUAUGCCAUAACCAACCUUUAGAGGAUUUAGCAAUGAAGCAAGUUCUAGGUUGAGCCUUUUUAGUGAAAUCAACUAUGUAAAGAUCACCUCUACGUAUACUGGUAAAGACCAUUUUAUGAUUGUCUCUACGAAACACUUGGCAAUAUACUUCAAUAAAUAUGACAUUGAAACCAAAAUCAGCAAGUCUAGAUACUGAAAGUAAGUUGUAGCCAAGAGAUUCAACGAGCAUAACAUUUUGAAUGGAGCUAUCAUGUCAGAUGGCCACCUUACCGAGGCCAACCACCUUACCCUUUGAGUUGUCACCAAAAGUGACAUACUUUCGAGGACCAUCAUUUUCAGCAAGCUCACGAAACAUGUCUUUAUCUCCGGUCAUGUGAUCGGUACAUCAACUGUCAAGAACCCAUUCCUUUCCUCCUGUCAUAUAUCCCCGAAGAUUUGCCAUGAGACCAAAAUGUCUCAUUGCAUCAUCAAGAUCAAAGUCGUCAUCAUCAUCCUCAUCAUAGUAUCCAUGUUCAACAUCAUCAUGUGGUGGAUCAAUUCCUAGUGAGGGUGACUCAUUAGUAUGAGUUUGACAAUGAUCUCCUCUAUGAAGUCUAGUGGCUUCGGAAAUAAUAUUGCUAAUAAUUCCAACAUUCCCUUUGGCACGCAUAAGAUUUGUAAGUUCAAAUAGACAAUUACCAAACAUAGGAUCAUUGGUAUUCAUCUUACUCAAGGCAAUAGACUUAUGAAGAAUUUCAUCCAGAUUUUUCAAAGAAUAAUUAGGAAAUCGUUCCGCAAGAAACUUCCAUAUAGUGUAGGCACACUCAAGAUUAGGCAGUUUUCCAACCAAGUUUCUAGGCAAGCCUCUAGUGAUAAGAUUAACAGUUCUAACAUUCCUAAUCAUGUCAAUCGACUCAUUAAGGUUAGGAUGCAUAGGAUCAACAUGAGGUGCACAAGGACUAGCAAUGUACUUGUUCAAAUGAUAUUGAUUGAAGAUUACAAGCAUCUCAUUUUUCCACUCAUGAAAAUAUUCUCCAUCAAGUAUAGGCACUCUAUGUCUAAGACUCCCCAAAGUAGACUCAUCCAUCUUCCUCCAAUGGUGAUUAAGCCAAAGCAAUGGAGACCAGAGCUCUAAUACCACUUGUAGGAUCUAGAAGUAUGUCUAGAGGGGGGGGGGGUGAUUAGACUACUUGACUGUGACACCCCCGAUUCAAUCGUACACUAAUCAUGCACGCAAAUGUGUACGAUCAAGAUCAGGGACUCACGGGAAGAUAUCACAACACAACUCUAAAACAUAAAUAAGUCAUACAAGCAUCAUAAUACAAGCCAGGGGCCUCGAGGGCUCGAAUACAAGUGCUCGAUCAUAGACGAGUCAGCGGAAGCAACAAUAUCUGAGUACAGACAUAAGUUAAACAAGUUGCCAUAAGAUGGCUAGCACAAACUGGGAUACAGAUCGAAAGAGGCGCAGGCCUCCUGCCUGGGAUCCUCCUAACUACUCCUGGUCGUCGUCAGCGGGCUGCACGUAGUAGUAGGCACCUCCAGUGUAGUAGUCGUUAUCGAUGGUGGCGUCUGGCUCCUGGGCUCCAUCGUCUGGUUGCAGCAAUCGAGUAGAGGUAGGGGAAAAGGAGGAACAAGGCAACCGUGAGUACUCAUCCAAAGUACUCGCAAGCAAGGAGCUACACUACAUAUACAUGGAUAUAUGUGUAAAGGGCCAUAUCAGUGGACUGAACUGCAGAAUGCCAGAAUAAGAGGGGGAUAGCUAGUCUUAACGAAGACUACGCUUCUGGUCACCUGUCUUGCAACAGGUAGAAGAGGACGAUCUGAAGUCCUCCAAGUAACAUCACAUAGCAAUAAUCCUACCCGGCGAUCCCCUCCUCAUACCCCUGAGAAAGAGCGACCACCGGUUGUAUCUGGCACUUGGAAGGGUGUGUUUUAUCAAGUAUCCGGUUCUAGUUGUCAUAAGCUCAAGGUACAACUCCAAGUCGUCCUGUUACCGAAGAUCACGGCUAUUCGAAUAGAUUAACUUCCCUGCAGGGGUGCACCAUCUUACCCAGCACGCUUGAUCCCAUUUGGCCGGACACACUUUCCUGGGUCAUGCCCGGCCGCGGAAGAUCAACACGUCGCAGCCCUACCUAGGCUCAACAGAGAGGCCAGCACGCCGGUCUAAACCUAAGCGCACAGGGGUCUGGGCCCAUCGCCCAAUGCACACCUGCACGUUGCGAACGCGGCCGGAAGCAGACCUAGCCUAGUGGCGUUCCAGUCCAAUCCAGCGCGCAUCGCUCAAUCGCUAGCGUCACGAAGUGCUUCGGCUGAUACCACGACGCCGGGAUACCCAUAACUACUCCCGCGUAGAUGGUUAGUGCAUAUAAGCUCGUAGCCAACUCAGAUCAAAUACCAAGACCUCGUUAAGCAUGUUAAGUAUCCGCGAACGCCGAACAGGGCCAGGCCCACCUCUCUCCUAGGCGGUCUCAACCUGCCCUGUCGCUCCGCCUCAAGAUCCACUCGCGGGUGCUCCACCAGCCGACCCGACUUUAGUCUCACAUGUAUCAUGUAUAAGUAUAUAGUAUAUACCCAUGAUCACCUCCCGAGUGAUCACGGCCCGAUAGUAUAGCACGGCAGACGGACAAGAAUGUAGGGCCACAGAUGAAUGUACUAGCAUCCUAUACUAAGCAUAUAGGAUUGCAGGUAAGGUAACAACAGAAGUAACAAGGACAGGCUAUGCAGCAGUAUAGGAGUAUCUGAAAGUAGUAACAUGCUACACUACUCUAAUGCAAGCAGUAUAGACAAGAGUAGGCGAUAUCUGGUGAUCAAGGGGGGGGGGCUUGCCUGGUUGCUCUGGCAAGAGAGAGGGGUCGUCAACACCGUAGUCGAACUGGGCAGCAGCAGCGCCGGUCUUGUAGUCUACCAGAGAGAAGAGGGGGAAGAAACAAUGAAUACCAAGUAAACAGAUGCAUAUCGAUGCAUGACAUGUCAAGAAGCGAUGCUAGGCGUGCCCUAACGUGGUAUGAGAUGGUACUGGUUAAGGGGGGAAUCAUCCGGGAAAGUAUUCCCGGUGUUUCGUGUUUUCGGGCAGAGGAGCCGGAGGGGGAAAGUUGCGGGUUCGAUAGGUUAGGGGGGUGUGACGGACGAAUGGACUACGUAUCCAAAUUCGUCUCGUCGUUCUGAGCAACUUUCAUAUUGAAGAUAUUUUAAUCCGAGUUACGGAUUAAAAGAUAUGAUUUUCUAAAGAUUUUAUUAAUUUCUGGAAUUUAAUUAAUUAUUUAACCCAACAUUAUCCAGAAAAGUAAAAGCUGACGUCAGCAUGACAUCAGGGUGAUGUCAGCAGUCAACGUUGACCAUUGACCUGGUCAACCUGACGUGUGGGUCCAGUGGGACCCACCUGUCAUUCUCUGUUUAGUUUAAUUACAGAUUAGUUAAUUUUAAUUAGUGAUUAGGUGAAUCUAAUCAGGAUUAAUUAACUUAAUUAAUUACUUAAUUAAUUAAUUAAUAUUUUAAUUAUUUUAGUUAUUAUUCAUUCAUUUAUUUAAUAUAUUUAUUUAUUUAUUUAUUUUAUUAUUUUUUUAAUUCCUUUUUCUUUUUCUUUUUUUUAAUAAAACGUUAUGGGGGCGGGCCCCUGUGGUCAGUGGCCCAUGGGGCCUUGCGGGCGUUGGGUGCAGGGUGCGGUCGCCACCCGCUAACGGGCGAACCCNNNNNNNNNNNNNNNNNNNNNNNNNNNNNNNNNNNNNNNNNNNNNNNNNNNNNNNNNNNNNNNNNNNNNNNNNNNNNNNNNNNNNNNNNNNNNNNNNNNNNNNNNNNNNNNNNNNNNNNNNNNNNNNNNNNNNNNNNNNNNNNNNNNNNNNNNNNNNNNNNNNNNNNNNNNNNNNNNNNNNNNNNNNNNNNNNNNNNNNNNNNNNNNNNNNNNNNNNNNNNNNNNNNNNNNNNNNNNNNNNNNNNNNNNNNNNNNNNNNNNNNNNNNNNNNNNNNNNNNNNNNNNNNNNNNNNNNNNNNNNNNNNNNNNNNNNNNNNNNNNNNNNNNNNNNNNNNNNNNNNNNNNNNNNNNNNNNNNNNNNNNNNNNNNNNNNNNNNNNNNNNNNNNNNNNNNNNNNNNNNNNNNNNNNNNNNNNNNNNNNNNNNNNNNNNNNNNNNNNNNNNNNNNNNNNNNNNNNNNNNNNNNNNNNNNNNNNNNNNNNNNNNNNNNNNNNNNNNNNNNNNNNNNNNNNNNNNNNNNNNNNNNNNNNNNNNNNNNNNNNNNNNNNNNNNNNNNNNNNNNNNNNNNNNNNNNNNNNNNNNNNNNNNNNNNNNNNNNNNNNNNNNNNNNNNNNNNNNNNNNNNNNNNNNNNNNNNNNNNNNNNNNNNNNNNNNNNNNNNNNNNNNNNNNNNNNNNNNNNNNNNNNNNNNNNNNNNNNNNNNNNNNNNNNNNNNNNNNNNNNNNNNNNNNNNNNNNNNNNNNNNNNNNNNNNNNNNNNNNNNNNNNNNNNNNNNNNNNNNNNNNNNNNNNNNNNNNNNNNNNNNNNNNNNNNNNNNNNNNNNNNNNNNNNNNNNNNNNNNNNNNNNNNNNNNNNNNNNNNNNNNNNNNNNNNNNNNNNNNNNNNNNNNNNNNNGCGGCGUACGGCGUCGGCCCGAUCCCGAUUGGAUCGGGAGGGGAGGGAGAAAGCGCGUGGGGGGCGAGUGGGGAGGAACCGCUAGGGUUCGGUCGCCCCAGGGGGUGAGGUAGGCGCUGGCUGGGCCGGCCUGUUUGGCACCGAGGCCAUCUGGGCCAGUGGGACGUGGGAGGGGGUUCCCUCUUUUUUUGUUUUGUUAGUUUCUUUCUUUUAUUUAUUUUCCUUUUUUCUUUAUUUUCUUUUGUGUUUUCUUUUAGUUUCCAUUUAUUUUUGUUUUAGUAAAAUACUAUAAUGGCGCCUAAUUUGCUGUUAACAAAUAUGCCACUGCCACAUUAGCUUGCUACCCAAGCUAAAUUAGUUUCACAAUUAAUUAAUAUUUGAAAGUAUAUAAAUAAUAGUUUUCACUACUGUUUCAAUUAUCUUAUAGUAUUUAAAUAUCUUAUAAAGGUAUGGUUUCUCCAUCAUAAUUACCUAUGUAAUAUUUGGUUCACCCCGAACAUUUUAGUUUUAAGAUUUGAAAACUUUUAUUGUUUGCUUAAUUUUUAAAGUUUGAACUAGGUUUCGAACUGGCGCGAGUCUAUAAACAGUAAUCCGAGGUGACGUGGCAUCAUUAGCGGAGGUUCACUGUAGCUUAACUAUCCGGGCGUCACAAUUCUCCUCCACUACAAGAAAUCUCGUCCCGAGAUUUAAGAGGGGAGUAAGGGGGGAAGGUUUGGUAACGAAUAUAGCGGGUCUUGUCAUCCUGGCUUGCUCUUCUCGAAGAGGUCAAUCCAAUAUAUUGAUGCCUUCAUACUUCUGCUUCAGGUCUAAAUGAUGAAGUCGUCAUCCUUUCUUCGGGAUCUUCAUCGUACUUACGAAAAGGAUAUGGGGGAAGACUCGGGAAGGGCGGGCCUUACCAGGUUGACUAUCUGGUACAUAACUCAGGGAAUGGGGUAGGAAGUAACUCUCGAAUUGAACUUAAGAAAAUAUCGAGAGUAAAGUAAGAAGGUACAAUAAGACGUUUCAAGCGGAUAGGUAAUCGUUCGUUGUCUGGAACAUAGUGUGAAAGGGGUUCAGAGCAACGAAAAUAAUAUUGCGUCUGAUACCAGAAUAGAACAAUAGAAAGGUGACCCAUUACAUACGGAAUCAAGCACGAGGAAUAUCGUUGGCAACAGGGCGUACAGGAGAGUCAGGUUUUGAUCCUAUGGAACUUUGGGUUAUGGGCCCACCAUGUGGGUUAAAAGCAGGAAGGCGCUAAUAUUUGCACGGUCAAGAUAACAAGGUAUGUCAGAGGAUAGCCUGUCGGUUUUGUUGGCAACAAUGUCGGUACCAAGGGCGAGGGACGAAGAGAACCAUUUUCCUGCUCGUUGAAUGAGGCGGACCAUUAGGCAAAGUUCUCGUCCAUCGGUGGCUGCCAGAAUGUCAUCAACAAUAGUAACAGGUUCUUGCUGACAGAAUUGCAGACCGAGGAGUUUACAUAAGCAGUAGAAUAUUACUGCUUAGAUCAUAUAGGUCACAAGAAAGGUUCAAACAACCAAUGGAAAGUAAAAUAUGAUUAUCAUAUUAAACAGAACAAUGGAAAGGAAAAUGUGUUUAAACACAUAUUUCAGGGAUAUAUCCUUCCCAAGGACAAGUAGAGCAUGAUAUCCGUGGCAAGAUAUAAUGUAGAAAACCCCUUUAGGAAAGGGAAGAGAAAUUUUCAUGACAUUACCCAUACAACGGUGUUUGGAUAAUUGAUCAAGAAGCAUUUAGCAUUGGGCUUUAAAUGUUCUUGUUGAAAAUCGGAGUACCACAGACAUGCUUCGAGAUAACAUUGACAUGGUCUUCAAGCAAAAAUCGGAUUUUGGAUACACAAAGGAUCCAUCAGGAUAAACUCAUUAAACAGGCAUUCAGUUUCCUCAUGGAAAAAUGAUUAACCUUGUUACAAAGGAAACUAUAACACUAGGUCCUCUGGUCCGGUGUGCUAGGCAUGACAUCACCUUACCGGGGCAUAUAGGGACCAAUGUUAUACCUCUUGAAAAGUUGUCCCAACCAUCAUAUCUGACCGAGAUUCAGAUCCGGUUGGUGUCAUGAUACCUCAGACUCAGGAUGUCCGAGAAGAAAAGGUGCAACACAAAUAGACGAAAAGACAUUCCAAGAUUCUCAGGAAAUGAACUAUGGAAGCAAGUUCCGAAACCAGAGUUCAUCAUUAAACCAAGGAGAGGAUGAGGAAGUGGCUGGCGGACUCAGCGAUAAUUCAACGAGGUAUCCAAAAAGAUGCAUCUCCUCAAUUAUGUGGAUAAGGAGAUAGCAUUUGUCCGAUCAAAUGAUAUAAUGAAGCAUGCUCGAGGACAACAUACACAAUUAAACAUUGGUUGAAAGGUGCGCCCGAAAUAUGGGUUGGGCUGCACGACCAAUGUCAGAAUGGUGAUUCAAUAAUCAAUAGUCUAAGAAUGAAUGGUUGACCAUUAACUUCAAAGCAAUAGGGUUGCUAGAAGUACAGAAUCCAAACAGCAUAGUUCACUUGUUGGUACCCCGGUUGGAAUCAACCGAGGACCAAGAAAGAAUGGUGAUGGUGAGAAGUAUCACUAUACCAAGAAUUUCUUAAGAGGUGGAGCAAUUCUCACAACCUUCUUGACAUAAAAGAUGGUAAUACUUCAAGUUGAAGAAGAACAAAUGCUGGGUAGCAAGGAACUCAAGAUUCAAUCCAAAACAUGAACACGUUUGUGUUGAGGGAAGACAAGGAUGUGGUCGAUGAUAACACGAUCAUCGAGGGGCAAGGAUGGUAUUUCCCAUCAUGAAUUUGAUUGAUAUCCUGGAAGAAGUUAAAAUGUUGAUGAUGAUCACGACAAAUUUUGUCGAGAGGCUCCAUGAAGAUGCAAUCGCUCGGCGAUGGCAUCAAGCCAAGGGAAUGGUGAAGCAAAAGGCUAUUAUAACCGUAGAUAAGAUGUCAUCCCAAAAUUUAGAGUUAUCUCUCAAGACAAACAAUAUGAUGGUGAAAGUUUGAUGUAAGCUUAGAGCACUGUCGGGAUUGUGUCCCAAGGAUGAAGGACAUAGGUAAAAUGGUCAAGCAGUCAACCUGACGAUGAUGAUGUAGUCAAUCAGCUGGGAAUGACACGAUCGAGUACAAACUCGUAAGCGAUGAAGAUUACUAAGAGUUGUUGAAUCGCAGUGCGGACUCGAUUCAGUUAUCGGUGUUCUCGAGUGACUAAUAACUCAGACCCUGGGGGGGAUCCGAGAUCGGUGAGAAGCAAUACUAGAUGAAGACUCGCAGGAAGCAACAUAGUUCUCGAGAUACCAAAGGUUAAUAAUCGAGGAAGAUCAAAAUAGAGGUUGGGCAAGCGUAUUGAUCUGCAAAAGGCAAGCACUUUAACUUGUCUGAGAAAUUGAAUCAAGGAGAAAAUGUGGUCGGGACCACGACUGCAAAUGAUCAAUACAUAAAUACCAGAUGAUUUUAUAUCAAGGAAAUAGUUAUUAUUACAAGAAGCUUCUAUGACAGGAUCUACAUCGUGUCCAUGGGCAUGAACACAAAGUUCAAGGUCGACUCCCACUUCUUUAAUGCAUAACCUUUCAUUCACUUCUCGCCUUCAACGAAAUUGUGUGUUGAAAUUUUAUCUGACAUAACACUAGUAGAGUAUGACCCGUAGUGGUUUCCGGGUUCACACAGUUUAAAGAAAGGCAUAUGUCCAACCCAUCAGGGCCUCUUAGGAACAUAUACCACAAACUUCAGGAGUAAAUAACACAAGCUCGAUAGCAGAGCAUGGUUGGCAAAGUAGAGGAUACAAUUUACCAAAGGCGGUAUAUAUCCUAGGAAAGGCUCAAGGUUAUUGAAUAUGAAGGACAUUGUCAGAUAAAAUCCAGCAAAGGAUCUGGGGUGAGUAUCGACACACAACCAGAGGAAGAAGCAAGGCAAAGACAUUGGAUUAUCGAAACAACUGAAUAACUUAGAGCUCAAUUGCUAAGGAGUUAUGAUUUACAAAGCGAAGAAUCAGAAGCAGACGCUCUGAUCAAGGAUGGAUAAGUUCAAUAGACUUAGGGGCAAAAUCGACGACAAUUUAAUUGGCGAGAACCAGCUCAUGAUUAAAACGACGUCUGAGCCGGAAGGAUGAAUUCUAGGAUCUGUUUGAGGAUUGUGAGCAUUCGCAACAAAUCGAAUCAACGGACUCAAAAUGACAAUGACAAUGGGUGUCAACAAGAUUACUAGACUUAUGGGACUAACCAUAAUGCAAGCAAUCAAGAAUUUCAAGAGCAACAGGAUGCUCAAGAUUUUCGGAAGAUCGAGUGAUAUUUCGAGGAUUGGUGACAUACAUGAAACAACUGGGGAUGAGUGGAUACUCGGUAAGUGCGAGAAAUUAUCCGUAGUGGUAUUCAUAUAGCAAAGAACUGCAAGGCAGUAGGCACAAAGUAUUCUCGAAACAUUAGAGAAAAUUUCAAGGUAUCUUGUAAUAACAAGAUCGACUGGGUAUAAAGUAAGGACGACGGGUGUAAGUAUUUAUCCAUAGGGAUAUUUCGGUGGAAGGGAAUUGCAAAAGCAACGGGCACAAGGUCUCGACAGAAUAUUGGAGAGUAUCUUCGAAAUCUUCUGGUGCAGGCGGCGAUCAUCUGGACUGAAGGGGCUCUACGGGAGAAAGUAUUUUCGAGAACCUAAAGUUAGAUUUUAGUAAAAAUCGUUUAACCCAAAUAGAAGAGAGUUCAGAAUUCCGGAGUAAAGAUCGAGGAGUAAAAAGAUCCUAAUACCACCCAAUUGGCGACGUGGGCCCAUGGGCCGCACAAUCAAGUUAGUAAAACAAUUUUCAUCGACUAGACUCAACUUCGGCCAAGGACUUGGAAAGGGGGAUUCCUACAGGCAGUCGGCUCUGAUACCAACUUGUGACGCCCCCGAUUCAAUUGUACACUAAUCAUGCACGCAAACGUGUACGAUCAAGAUCAGGGACUCACGGGAAGAUAUCACAACACAACUCUAAAACAUAAAUAAGUCAUACAAGCAUCAUAAUACAAGCCAGGGGCCUCGAGGGCUCGAAUACAAGUGCUCGAUCAUAGACGAGUCAGCGGAAGCAACAAUAUCUGAGUACAGACAUAAGUUAAACAAGUUGCCAUAAGAUGGCUAGCACAAACUGGGAUACAGAUCGAAAGAGGCGCAGGCCUCCUGCCUGGGAUCCUCCUAACUACUCCUGGUCGUCGUCAGCGGGCUGCACGUAGUAGUAGGCACCUCCAGUGUAGUAGUCGUUAUCGACGGUGGCGUCUGGCUCCUGGGCUCCAUCGUCUGGUUGCAGCAAUCGAGUAGAGGUAGGGGAAAAGGGGGAACAAGGCAACCGUGAGUACUCAUCCAAAGUACUCGCCAGCAAGGAGCUACACUACAUAUGCAUGGAUAUAUGUGUAAAGGGCCAUAUCAGUGGACUGAACUGCAGAAUGCCAGAAUAAGAGGGGGAUAGCUAGUCUUAACGAAGACUACGCUUCUGGUCACCUGUCUUGCAACAGGUAGAAGAGGACGAUCUGAAGUCCUCCAAGUAACAUCACAUAGCAAUAAUCCUACCCGGCGAUCCCCUCCUCAUACCCCUGAGAGAGAGCGAUCACCGGUUGUAUCUGGCACUUGGAAGGGUGUGUUUUAUCAAGUAUCCGAUUCUAGUUGUCAUAAGCUCAAGGUACAACUCCAAGUUGUCCUGUUACCGAAGAUCACGGCUAUUCGAAUAGAUUAACUUCCCUGCAGGGGUGCACCAUCUUACCCAGCACGCUUGAUCCCAUUUGGCCGGACACACUUUCCUGGGUCAUGCCCGACCACGGAAGAUCAACACGUCGCAGCCCUACCUAGGCUCAACAGAGAGGCCAGCACGCCGGUCUAAACCUAAGCGCACAGGGGUCUGGGCCCAUCGCCCAAUGCACACCUGCACGUUGCGAACGCGGCUGGAAGCAGACCUAGCCUAGUGGCGUUCCAGUCCAAUCCAGCGCGCGCCGCUCAGUCGCUGGCGUCACGAAGUGCUUCGGCUGAUACCACGAUGCCGGGAUACCCAUAACUACUCCCGCGUAGAUGGUUAGUGCGUAUAAGCUCGUAGCCAACUCAGAUCAAAUACCAAGACCUCGUUAAGCGUGUUAAGUAUCCGCGAACGCCCAACAGGGCCAUGCCCACCUCUCUCCUAGGCGGUCUCAACCUGCCCUGUCGCUCCGCCUCAAGAUCCACUCGCGGGUGCUCCACCAGCCGACCCGACUUUAGUCUCACAUGUAUCAUGUAUAAGUAUAUAGUAUAUACCCGUGAUCACCUCCCGUGUGAUCACGGCCCGAUAGUAUAGCAUGGCAGAUGGACAAGAAUGUAGGGCCACAGAUGAAUGUACUAGCAUCCUAUACUAAGCAUAUAGGAUUGCAGGUAAGGUAACAACAGAAGUAACAAGGACAGGCUAUGCAACAGUAUAGGAGUAUCUGAAAGCAGUAACAUGCUACACUACUCUAAUGCAAGCAGUAUAGAGAAGAGUAGGCGAUAUCUGGUGAUCAAGGGGGGGGCUUGCCUGGUUGCUCUGGCAAGAGAGAGGGGCCGUCAACACCGUAGUCGAACUGGGCAGCAGCAGCGUCGGUCUCGUAGUCUACCGGAGAGAAGAGGGGGAAGAAACAAUGAAUACCAAGUAAACAGAUGCAUAUCGAUGCAUGACAUGUCAAGAAGCGAUGCUAGGCGUGCCCUAACGUGGUAUGAGGUGGUACUGGUUAAGGGGGGAAUCAUCCGGGAAAGUAUUCCCGGUGUUUCGUGUUUUCGGGCAGAGGAGCCGGAGGGGGAAAGUUGCGGGUUCGAUAGGUUAGGGGGGUGUGACGGACGAACGGACUGCGUAUCCGAAUUCGUCUCGUCGUUCUGAGCAACUUUCAUAUUGAAGAUAUUUUAAUCCGAGUUACGGAUUAAAAGAUAUGAUUUUCUAAAGAUUUUAUUAAUUUCUGGAAUUUACUUAAUUAUUUAACCCAACAUUAUCCAGAACAGUAAAAGGUGACGUCAGCAUGACAUCAGGGUGAUGUCAGCAGUCAACGUUGACCAUUGACCUGGUUAACCUGACGUGUGGGUCCAGUGGGACCCACCUGUCAUUCUCUGUUUAGUUUAAUUACAGAUUAGUUAAUUUUAAUUAGUGAUUAGGUUAAUCUAAUCAGGAUUAAUUAAUUAAUUAAUUAAUUACUUAAUUACUUAAUUAAUAUUUUAAUUAUUUUAGUUAUUAUUCUUUUAUUUAUUUAAUAUAUUUAUUUAUUUAUUUAUUUUAUUAUUUUUUUAAUUCCUUUUUCUUUUUCUUUUUUUUAAUAAAACGUUAUGGGGGCGGGCCCCUGUGGUCAGUGGCCCAUGGGGCCUUGCGGGCGUUGGGUGCAGGGUGCGGUCGCCACCCGCUAACGGGCGAACCCGGGCGGCCGCCGCAGGCGCGCGCGCCAGCACCGGCGAGGCGGGCUGGGCGCCNNNNNNNNNNNNNNNNNNNNNNNNNNNNNNNNNNNNNNNNNNNNNNNNNNNNNNNNNNNNNNNNNNNNNNNNNNNNNNNNNNNNNNNNNNNNNNNNNNNNNNNNNNNNNNNNNNNNNNNNNNNNNNNNNNNNNNNNNNNNNNNNNNNNNNNNNNNNNNNNNNNNNNNNNNNNNNNNNNNNNNNNNNNNNNNNNNNNNNNNNNNNNNNNNNNNNNNNNNNNNNNNNNNNNNNNNNNNNNNNNNNNNNNNNNNNNNNNNNNNNNNNNNNNNNNNNNNNNNNNNNNNNNNNNNNNNNNNNNNNNNNNNNNNNNNNNNNNNNNNNNNNNNNNNNNNNNNNNNNNNNNNNNNNNNNNNNNNNNNNNNNNNNNNNNNNNNNNNNNNNNNNNNNNNNNNNNNNNNNNNNNNNNNNNNNNNNNNNNNNNNNNNNNNNNNNNNNNNNNNNNNNNNNNNNNNNNNNNNNNNNNNNNNNNNNNNNNNNNNNNNNNNNNNNNNNNNNNNNNNNNNNNNNNNNNNNNNNNNNNNNNNNNNNNNNNNNNNNNNNNNNNNNNNNNNNNNNNNNNNNNNNNNNNNNNNNNNNNNNNNNNNNNNNNNNNNNNNNNNNNNGAGGAGGACGGAGACGGCGCGCGACGGGGAGGCAGUCCGGCGACGAGGUCCGUUGAGGAGGAGGGCGGCGAGGCGGCGUUCCGGCCGACGGAAUCCGGGGGCGACGGGGUCGGGCCUCUCCCCGAUCCAGAUGGGACUGAGAGGAGAGUGGGAAAGUGGGGGAAGGGGAGGCGCCCGACGAUGGAGAGGCGGGGCGGGGUCGAGGCGGCACCAGGCGGCGGCGUACGGCGUCGGCCCGAUCCCGAUUGGAUCGGGAGGGGAGGGAGAAAGCGCGUGGGGGGCGAGUGGGGAGGAACCGCUAGGGUUCGGUCGCCCCAGGGGGUGAGGUAGGCGCUGGCUGGGCCGGCCUGUUUGGCACCGAGGCCAUCUGGGCCAGUGGGACGUGGGAGGGGGUUCCCUCUUUUUUUGUUUUGUUAGUUUCUUUCUUUUAUUUAUUCUCCUUUUUUCUUUAUUUUCUUUUGUGUUUUCUUUUAGUUUCCAUUUAUUUUUGUUUUAGUAAAAUACUAUAAUGGCGCCUAAUUUGCUGUUAACAAAUAUGCCACUGCCACAUUAGCUUGCUACCCAAGCUAAAUUAGUUUCGCAAUUAAUUAAUAUUUAAAAGUAUAUAAAUAAUAGUUUUCACUACUGUUUCAAUUAUCUUAUAGUAUUUAAAUAUCUUAUAAAGGUAUGGUUUCUCCAUCAUAAUUACCUAUGUAAUAUUUGGUUCACCCCGAACAUUUUAGUUUUAAGAUUUGAAAACUUUUAUUGUUUGCUUAAUUUUUAAAGUUUGAACUAGGUUUCGAACUGGCGCGAGUCUAUAAACAGUAAUCCGAGGUGACGUGGCAUCAUUAGCGGAGGUUCACUGUAGCUUAACUAUCCGGGCGUCACAUUGACCAAAUAAAAACUAUGCCUUUUCCCAAUUUUAGUCUUUGGCAGAUUUUUGCAAACUUAGCACAAGUCAAGCAAUCUUAACACAAUUCAAGCAAGCAUGCAAAGAGUAUAUGAGCAGCGGAAAAUAAAGCAUGCAACUUGCAAGAAUGUGAAGGGAAGGGUUUGGAGAUUUCAAACGCAAUUUGGAGACACGGUGAUUUUUGAGCCGUGGUUCCGAUAGGUGGUGCUAUCGUACAUCCACGUUGAUGGAGACUUCAACCCAUGAAGGGUAACGGCUGCGCGAGUCCACGGAGGACUCCACCCAAGAAGGGUCCACGAAGAAGCAACCUUGUCUAUCCCACCAUGGCCGUCGCCCACGAAGGACUUGCCUCACUAGCGAUAGAUCUUCACAAAGUAGGCGAUCUCCUUGCCCUUACAAACUCCUUGGUUCAACUCCACAAUCUUGUCGGAGGCUCCCAAGUGACACAUAGCCAAUCUAGGAGACACCACUCUCCAAGAAGUAACAAAUGGUGUGUUGAUGAUGAACUCCUUUCUCUUGUGCUUCAAAUGAUAGUCUCCCCAACACUAAACUCUCUCUCACAGGAUUUGGAUUUGGUGGAAAGAAGAUUUGAGUGGAAAGCAACUUGGGAAGGCUAGAGAUCAAGAUUCAUAUGGUAGGAAUGGAAUAUCUUGGUCUCAACACAUGAGUAGGUGGUUUUCUCUCGGAAAUGGUAAGUUGGAAGUGUAGGUUUGUUCUGAUGGCUCUCUUUAUGAAUGAAGAGGAGGUGGAGGGGUAUAUAUAGCCUCCACACAAAAUCUAACCAUUACAGACAAUUUACCAAUCUCGGUGGGACCGAAUCAACAAACUCGGUCAAACCGAUUUAGUAAACAAUGUGACCGUUAGGGUUUUCGGUGGGACCGACAUGCAACUCGGUAGGACCGAUAUGGUUAGGGUUAGGGCAUAACGUAAUCUCGGUGAGACCGAUUACACAAACUUUUUGGUAAUAAGCUAACCAGAGAGUUAGUUAGGUAAACUCGGUGUGACCGAUUUAUUCAUCUCGGUGGGACUGAAAUGUCACAAAAAGGAAACAGAGAGUUUGCAUUGUAAUCUCGGUAGGACCGAUUAAUCAAACUCGGUGAGACCGAUUUUGAUAAUGGACAUACACGGAGAGAUUACAAUCCCAUCUCGGUGAGACCGAGAUCCCUAUCGGUGAGACCGAUUUGCCUAGGGUUUGUGGCAGUGGCUAUGACAUUUGAACUCGGUGGCGCCGGAUAGAAAGAAUCGGUGGGGCCGAGUUGGACUUUAGGUUUAGGUCAUAUGUGGAUGUGGGAAAGUAGUUGAGGGUUUUGGAGCAUAUCACUAAGCACUAUGAAGCAAGAAACUCAUUAAGCAACACCUCAUCCCUCCUUGAUAGUAUUGGCUUUUCCUAUAGACUCAAUGUGAUCUUGGAUCACUAAAAUAUAAAAUGUAGAGUCUUGAGCUUGAAGCUUGAGCCAAUCCUUUGUCCUUAGCGUCUAGAAGGGGUUCCACAUCUUUUAGUCCAUGCCACUUCAUUGUUGAACUUAUCUGAAAAGAUACUAGGUAGAAGUGUUAGUCCAACAAGAGAUAUGUUGACAUUAAUUACCAAAAUCACCUAGGGUGCACUUGUGGUUUCAGGAAGGGCGAACUAGUCAUGGGGAACGAGCGAACACCUAAACACGGAGCUAGCAGCAAGCGAUGGAUCGAUACAAGCCUCCCAAACAGGCGGGCAACAGAAAGGAUAACAGCACCGAGGCAGUCGACGGGGACGAGGCGCGGGACGGCCGCUACGCAUCAGCCCGAGGCGUCAUCGAGGAGGCAGGGAUCCCAGCCGCCACCACCUUCCGGCCGAGCGGAACAGCGACAACAUCAAGAAAUUUGGCGCGGAGAGCCUUGCCCUGCAACCGUGGAGAGCACCCGAGGAGGGCAUCCUUGAGGGCCUGAUGUUUGACCGCCUUUUCCUCCAUGGAGAUUGUAGGACCUUGAGAAGAGGUGUCUAGAGGGGGGGGGGUGAUUAGACACUAAGUACCAAAGUUGAAGUUUUUUGCCUUUUUAAAACUAAGUGGAGUUUAGGCACAAGUUUAACAUUCACAACACAUAGCAAGCAAGCAUGCAAAGAGUAUAUGAGCAGCGGAAAGUAAAGCAUGCAACUUGUAAGAAUGUAAAGGGAAGGGUUUUGGAGGAUUCAAACACAAUUGGAGACACGGAUGUUUUUGGCGUGGUUCUGAUAGGUGGUGCUAUCGUACAUCCACAUUGAUGGAGACUUCAACCCACGAAGGGUAACGGUUGCGCGAGUCCACGGAGGGCUCCACCCACGAAGGGUCCACGAAGAAGCAACCUUGUCUAUCCCACCAUGGCCGUCGCCCACGAAGGACUUGCCUCACUAGCGGUAGAUCUUCACAAAGUAGGCGAUCUCCUUGCCCUUACAAACUCCUUGGUUCAACUCCACAAUCUUGUCAGAGGCUCCCAAGUGACACCUAGCCAAUCUAGGAGACACCACUCUCCAAGAAGUAACAAAUGGUGCGUUGAUGAUGAACUCCUUGCUCUUGUGCUUCAAAUGAUAGUCUCCCCAACACUCAACUCUCUCUCAUAGGAUUUGGAUCUGGUGGAAAGAGGAUUUGAGUGGAAAGCAACUUGGGGAAGGCUAGAGAUCAAGAUUCAUAUGGUAGGAAUGGAAUAUCUUGGCCUCAACACAUGAGUAGGUAGUUCUCCCUUAGAAAUGGUAAGUUGGAAGUGUAGGUUUAGUCUGAUGGCUCUCUAUACGAAUGAAGAGGAGGUGGAGGGGUAUAUAUAGCCUCCACACAAAAUCUAACCGUUACACACAAUUUACCAAACUCAGUGGGACCGAUUCAGUGGACUCGGUCAGACCGAUUUAGUAAACCUAGUGACCGUUAGUGAUUUUCGGUGGGACCGAAAUGCAACUCGGUAGGACCGAUAUGGUUAGGGUUAGGGCAUAACGUAAUCUCGGUGAGACCGAUUACACAAACUCGGUAGGACCGAUUUUGGUAAUUAGCUAACCAGAGAGUUGGUCAGGCAAACUCGGUUGGACCGAUUAUCAAACUCGGUGGGACCGAUUUUGGUAAUGAGUCAACCAGGAAGUUUGCAUUGUAAUCUCGGUAGUACCGAUUGCUCAAACUCGGUGAGACCGAUUUUGAUAAUGGGCAUACACAGAGAGAUUACAAUCCCAUCUCGGUGAGGCCGAGAUCCCUAUCGGUGAGACCGAUUUGCCUAGGGUUUGUGGCAGUGGCUAAGACAUCAAAACUCGGUGGCGCCGGAUAGAAAGAAUCAGUGGGACCGAGUUUGACUUUAGGUUUAGGACAUAUGUGGAUGUGAGAAAGUGGUUGAGGGUUUUUGGAGCAUAUGACUAAGCACAUGAAGCAAGAGGCUCAUUAAGCAACACCUCAUCCCUCCUUGAUAGUAUUGGCUUUUCCUGUAGACUCAAUGUGAUCUUGGAUCACUGAAAUGUAAAAUGAAGAGUCCUGAGCUUGAAGCUUGAGCCAAUCCUUUGUCCUUAGCAUCUUGAAGGAGUUCCCACAUCCUUUAGUCCAUGCCACUCCAAUGUUGAACUUAUCUGAAAUAUACUAGAUAAAAGUGUUAGUCCAACAAGAUAUAUGUUGACAUUAAUUACCAAAACCACCUAGGGAGCACUUGUGCUUUCAAUCUCCCCCUUUUUGGUAGUUGAUGACAAAAUACAUCAAAGCUUUAGAUAAGGAUAUAAAGAAUAGCAAGUAAAGCUUUGGAAAGACAUGUAACAAGCAUAGGCUCCCCCUACAUGUAUGCAAUCAUGUGAAUAUGAAAUAUAGAAGCAUGUGAUAGCAUAACCAUGAUAGAGCAGGCAAUGUGUUACAUGUAUCUUGGCCAUAUGCAUCAGAGCAAAAAAAAUAUUAAAGGAAAUACCUUCAUGCCCAUGAGUCCUUCUUGCAAACAGUAUGUACAUCAGCAAGAAUUCCUCAUACACAUGAUUGUGAUGCAUAUACUUACCUUGUACCCUUGAGUAGGCUUAGGAUGGAAUGAACCUGUGUAAACAAGGUUAGAUAACACAGAUACAUCUACUAGCCAGAGCAAACAGAAGAAACCACAAGAAUACCAAGACUGGGAUGACAUGUAGAGAGUGAGUACUAAGUACUACAGUUGAUUAGACAUGUCCCCAAGAGUAAAGAUAUGCAAUGAAUUUAAAUGAUUUCUUUCCCUUAGAUGUCUUGCUCCCCCUGAAUCUAGCAUGGGAUACUGGGAGAAGAUAGGGAACAGAAAAUCAGAGCUGAAAGAUAUAAAGAACAAAGCUAAUGCAAGCUAAUGCAAAUAAGCACAUAUGAACAUGCCUUUGAAGGAAAUAUGCCCUAGAGGCAAUAAUAAAGUUAUUAUUUAUUUCCUCAUAUCAUGAUAAAUGUUUAUUAUUCAUGCUAGAAUUGUAUUAACCGGAAACAUGAUACAUGUGUGAAUACAUAGACAAACAUAUAGUCACUAGUAUGCCUCUACUUGACUAGCUCAUUAAUCAAAGAUGGUUAUGUUUCCUAACCAUAGACAUGUGUUGUCAUUUGAUUAAUGGGAUCACAUCAUUAGGAGAAUGAUGUGAUUGACAUGACCCAUUCCGUUAGCCUAGCACUUGAUCGUUUAGUAUAUUGCUAUUGCUUUCUUCAUGACUUAUACAUGUUCCUGUAACUAUGAGAUUAUGCAACUCCCAUUUACCGGAGGAACACUUUGGGUGCUACCAAACAUCACAACGUAACUGGGUGAUUAUAAAGGAGUACUACAUGUGUCUCCAAAGGUACAUGUUGGGUUGGCGUAUUUCGAGAUUAGGUUUUGUCACUCCGAUUGUCGAAGAGGUAUCUCUGGGCCCUCUCGGUAAUGCACAUCACUAUAAGCCUUGCAAGCAAUGUAGCUAAUGAGUUAGUUAUGGAAUGAUGCUUUACGUAACGAGUAAAGAGACUUGCCAGUAACGAGAUUGAACUAGGUAUUGGAUACCGACGAUCGAAUCUCGGGCAAGUAACAUACCGAUGACAGAGGGAACAACGUAUGUUGUUAUGCGGUUUGACCGAUAAAGAUCUUCGCAGAAUAUGUAGGAGCCAAUAUGAGCAUCCAGGUUCCGCUAUUGGUUAUUGACCGAGAAUAGUUCUAGGUCAUGUCUACAUAGUUCUCGAACCCGUAGGGUCCGCACGCUUAACGUUACGAUGACAGUUUUAUUAUGAGUUUGUAAGUUUUGAUGUACCGAAGGUUGUUCGGAGUCCCGGAUGUGAUCACGGACAUGACGAGGAGUCUCGAAAUGGUUGAUACAUAAAUAUUGAUAUAUUGGAAGCCUAUAUUUGGAUAUCGGAAUGGUUCCGGGUGAAAUCGGGAUUUUAUCGGAACACCGGGGGGUUACCGGAACCCUCCCGGGGGUAAAUGGUCCUUAGUGGGCCAUGAGGGAGAAGAGGAGGGCCGGCCAAGGCAGGCCGCAUGCCCCCUCCCCCCUAGUCCGAAUAGGACAAGGAAGGGGGGCGGCGCCCUCCUUUCCUCUUUCCCCUCCCCCCUUUCCUUCUCCACCAAGGCAAGAGGGGGGAGUCCUACUCCUGAUGGGAGUAGGACUCCUCCAGGCGCACCCCUAGGGGGCCGGCCGCACCUCCCCCCUCUCUCCUUUAUAUACGGGGGCAGGGGGGCACCCUAGGACACACAAGUUGAUCUACGUGAUCGUUCCUUAGCCGUGUGCGGUGCCCCCCUCCACCAUAUUCCACCUCGGUCAUAUCGUCGCGGAGUUUAGGUGAAGCCCUGCGCCGGUAGAACAUCAUCAUCGUCACCAUGCCGUCGUGCUAACGGAACUCAUCCCCGAGACUUUGCUGGAUCGGAGUCCAGGGAUCGUCAUCGAGCUGAACGUGUGCUGAACUCGGAGGUGUCGUACGUUCGGUACUUGGAUCGGUCGGAUCGUGAAGACGUAUGACUACAUCAACCGCGUUGUCAUAACGCUUCCGCUUACGGUCUACGAGGGUACGUGGACAUUACUCUCCCCUCUCGUUGCUAUGCAUCACCAUGAUCUUGCUGUGCGUAGGAAUUUUUUUUGAAAUUACUAGGUUCCUCAACAGUGGCAUCCGAGCCAUGUUUUAUGCGUAGAUGUCAUAUGCACGAGUAGAACAAAAGUGAGUUGUGGGCGAUACUAGUCAUACUGCUUACCAGCAUGUCAUACUUUGGCUCAGCGGUAUUGUGAGAUGAAGCGGCCCGGACCGACAUUACGUGUACGCUUACGCGAGACUGGUUUCACCGUUACAAGCACUCGUGCUUAAAGGUGACUGGCGGGUGUCUAUCUCUCUCACUUUAGCUGAACCGAGUGUGGCUACGCCCGUUCCUUGCGAAGGUUAAAACAACAUUAACUUGACGAACUAUUGUUGUGGUUUUGAUGCGUAGGUAAGAACGGUUCUUGCUAAGCCCGUAGCAGCCACGUAAAAUUUGCAACAACAAAGUAGAGGACGUCUAACUUGUUUUUGCAGGGCAUGUUGUGAUGUGAUAUGGUCAAGACGUGGUGCUAUAUUUUAUUGUAUGAGAUGAUCAUGUUUUGUAACCGAAGUUAUCGGCAACUGGCAGGAGCCAUAUGGUUGUCGCUUUAUUGUAUGAAAUGCAAACGCCCUAUAGUUGCUUUACUUUAUCACUAAGCGGUAGCGAUAGUCGUAGAAGCAAUAAAUGGCGUAACGACAACGAUGCUAUGAUGAAGAUCAAGGUGUCGCACCGGUGACGGUGGUGAUCACGACGGUGCUUCGACGAUGGAGAUCACAAGCACAAGAUGAUGAUGGCCAUAUCAUAUCACUUAUAUUGAUUGCAUGUGAUGUUUAUCCUUUAUGCAUCUUAUUUUGCUUUGAUUGACGGUAGCAUUUUAAGAUGAUCUCUCACUAAAUUAUCAAGAAGUGUUCUCCCUGAGUAUGCACCGUUGCGAAAGUUCUUCGUGCUGAGACACCACGUGAUGAUCGGGUGUGAUAGGCUCUACGUUCAAAUACAACGGGUGCAAAAUAGUUGCACACGCGGAAUACUCAGGUUAAACUUGACGAGCCUAGCAUAUAACAGAUAUGGCCUCGGAACACGGAGACCGAAAGGUCGAGCGUGAAUCAUAUAGUAGGUAUGAUCAACAUAUUGAUGUUCACUAUUGAAACUACUCCAUCUCACGUGACGAUCGGACAUGGUGUAGUUGAUAUGGAUCACGUAAUCACUUAGAGGAUUAGAGGGAUGUCUAUCUAAGUGGGAGUUCUUAAGUAAUAUGAUUAAUUGAACUUAAAUUUCUCAUGAACUUAGUACCUAAUAGUAUUUUGCUUGUCUAUGUUUGUUGUAGAUAGAUGGCUCGUGCUGUUGUUCCGUUGAAUUUUAAUGCGUUCCUUGAGAAAGCAAAGUUGAAAGAUGAUGGUAGCAAUUACACGGACUGGGUCCGUAACCUGAGGGUUAUCCUCAUUGCUGCACAGAAGAAUUACGUCCUGGAAGCACCGCUGGGUGCCAGGCCUGCUGCUGAUGCAACUAACGAUGUUAAGAAUGUCUGGCAAAGCAAAGCUGAUGACUACUCAAUAGUUCAGUGUGCCAUGCUUUACGGCUUAGAACCGGGUCUUCAAUGACGUUUUGAACGUCAUGGAGCAUAUGAGAUGUUUCAGGAGUUGAAGUUAAUAUUUCAAGCAAAUGCCCGGAUUGAGAGAUAUGAAGUCUCCAAUAAGUUCUAUAGCUGCAAGAUGGAGGAGAAUAGUUCUGUCAGUGAACACAUACUCAAAAUGUCUGGGUAUAAUAAUGACUUGAUUCAACUGGGAGUUAAUCUUCCUGAUGAUAGUGUCAUUGACAGAAUUCUUCAAUCACUGCCACCAAGCUACAAGAGCUUCGUGAUGAACUAUAAUACGCAAGGGAUGGACAAGACUAUUCCCGAGCUCUUCGCAAUGCUAAAAGCCACGGAGGUAGAAAUCAAGAAGGAGCAUCAAGUGUUGAUGGUUAACAAGACCACCAUUUUCAAGAAAAAGGGCAAAGGGAAGAAGAAGGGGAACUUCAAGAAGAACAUCAAACAAGUUGCUGCUCAAGAGAAAAAACCCAAGUCUGGACCUAAACCUGAGACUGAGUGCUUCUACUGCAAGCAGACUGGACACUGGAAGCGGAACUGCCCCAAGUAUUUGGCGGAUAAGAAGGAUGGCAAGGUGAACAAAGGUAUAUGUGAUAUACAUGUUAUUGAUGUGUACCUUACUAAUGCUCGCAGUAGUACCUGGGUAUUUGAUAUUGGUUCUGUUGCUAAUAUUUGCAACUCGAAACAGGGACUACGGAUUAAGCGAAGAUUGGCUAAGGACGAGGUGACGAUGCGCGUGGGAAAUGGUUCCAAAGUCGAUGUGAUCGCGGUCGGCACGCUACCUCUACAUCUACCAUCGGGAUUAGUUUUAGACCUAAAUAAUUGUUAUUUGGUGCCAACAUUGAGCAUGAACAUUAUAUCUGGAUCUUGUUUGAUGCGAUACGGUUAUUCAUUUAAGUCAGAGAAUAAUGGUUGUUCUAUUUAUAUGAGUAAUAUCUUUUAUGGUCAUGCACCCUUGAAGAGUGGUCUAUUUUUAUUGAAUCUCGAUAGUAGUGAUACACAUAUUCAUAGUGUUGAAACCAAUAGAUGCAGAGUUGAUAAUGAUAGUGCAACUUAUUUGUGGCACUACCGUUUAGGUCAUAUCGGUGUAAAGCGCAUGAAGAAACUCCAUACUGAUGGGCUUUUGGAAUCACUUGAUUAUGAAUCACUUGGUACUUGCGAACCGUGCCUGAUGGGCAAGAUGACUAAAACGCCGUUCUCGGAACUAUGGAGCGAGCAACUGAUCUGUUGGAAAUCAUACAUACUGAUGUUUGUAGUCCAAUGAAUGUUGAGGCUCGCGGCGGGUAUCAUUAUUUUCUCACAUUCACAGAUGAUUUGAGCAGAUAUGGGUAUAUCUACUUAAUGAAACACAAGUCUGAAACAUUUGAAAAGUUCAAAGAAUUUCAGAGUGAAGUGGAAAAUCAUCGUAACAAGAAAAUAAAAUUUCUACGAUCUGAUCGUGGAGGAGAAUAUUUGAGUUACGAGUUUGGUUUACAUUUGAAACAAUGUGGAAUAGUUUCGCAACUCACGCCACCCGGAACACCACAACGAAAUGGUGUGUCCGAACGUCAUAAUCGUACUUUACUAGAUAUGGUGCGAUCUAUGAUGUCUCUUACUGAUUUACCGCUAUCAUUUUGGGGUUAUGCUUUAGAGACGGCCGCAUUCACGUUAAAUAGGGCACCAUCAAAAUCCGUUGAGACGACGCCUCAUGAACUGUGGUUUGGCAAGAAACCAAAGUUGUCGUUUCUUAAAGUUUGGGGCUGCGAUGCUUAUGUGAAGAAACUUCAACCAGAUAAGCUCGAACCCAAAUCGGAGAAAUGUGUCUUCAUAGGAUACCCAAAAGAGACUGUUGGGUACACCUUCUAUCACAGAUCUGAAGGCAAGAUUUUCGUUGCAAAAUUCGGAUCCUUUCUAGAGAAGGAGUUUCUCUCAAAAGAAGUGAGUGGGAGGAAAGUAGAACUUGAUGAGGUAACUGUACCUGCUCCCUUAUUGGAAAGUAGUUCAUCACAAGAACCGGUUCCUGUGACAACUACACCAACCAGUGAGGAAGCUAAUGAUAUUGAUCAUGAAACUUCAGAUCAAAUUUCUACUGAACCUCAUAGGUCUACCAGAGUAAGAUCCGCACCAGAGUGGUACGGUAAUCCUAUUCUGGAAGUCAUGUUACUUGACCAUGAUGAACCUACGAACUAUGAGGAAGCGAUGAUGAGCCCAGAUUCCGCAAAAUGGCUAGAGGCCAUGAAAUCUGAGAUGGGAUCCAUGUAUGAGAACAAAGUAUGGACUUUGGUUGACUUGCCCGAUGAUCAGCAAGCCAUUGAGAAUAAAUGGAUUUUUAAGAAGAAGACUAACGCUGAUGGUAAUGUAACUGUCUAUAAAGCUCGACUUGUUGCAAAAGGUUUUCGACAAGUUCAAGGGGUUGACCACGAUGAGACUUUCUCACCCGUAGCGAUGCUUAAGUCUGUCUGAAUCAUGUUAGCAAUUGCUGCAUUUUAUGAUUAUGAAAUUUGGCAAAUGGAUGUCAAAACUGCAUUCUUGAAUGGAUUUUUGGAAGAAGAGUUGUAUAUGAUGCAGCCAGAAGGUUUUGUUGAUCCAAAAGGUGCUAACAAAGUGUGCAAGCUCCAGUGAUCCAUUUAUGGACUGGUGCAAGCAUCUCGGAGUUGGAAUAAACACUUUGAUAGUGUGAUCAAAGCAUAUGGUUUUAUACAGACUUUUGGAGAAGCCUAUAUUUAUAAGAAAGUGAGUGGGAGCUCUGUAGCAUUUCUGAUAUUAUAUGUAGAUGACAUAUUAUUAAUUGGAAAUGAUAUAGAAUUUCUGGAUAGCAUAAAGGGAUACUUGAAUAAAAAAAUUUCUAUGAAAUACCUCGGUGAAGCUGCUUAUAUAUUGGGCAUCAAGAUUUAUAGAGAUAGAUCAAGACGCUUAAUUGGACUUUCACAAAGCACAUACCUUGAUAAAGUUUUGAAAAAGUUCAAAAUGGAUCAGGCAAAGAAAGGGUUCUUGCCCGUACUACAAGGUGUGAAGUUGAGUCAAACUCAAUGCCCAACCACAGCAGAAGAUAGAGAGAAAAUGAAAGAUGUUCCCUAUGCUUCAACCAUAGGCUCUAUCAUGUAUGCAAUGCUGUGUACCAGACCUGACGUGUGCUUAGCAAUAAGCUUGGCAGGAAGGUACCAAAGUAAUCCAGGAGUGGAUCACUGGACAGCGGUCAAGAACAUCCUGAAAUACCUGAAAAGGACUAAGGAUAUGUUUCUUGUAUAUGGAGGUGACAAAGAGCUAGUCGUAAAUGGUUACGUCGAGGCAAGCUUUGACACUGAUCCGGACGAUUCUAAAUCGCAAACCGGAUACGUGUUUUUAUUAAACGGUGGAGCUGUAAGUUGGUGCAGUUCUAAACAAAGCGUCGUGGCGGGAUCUACAUGUGAAGCGGAGUACAUAGCUGCUUCGGAAGCAGCAAAUGAAGGAGUCUGGAUGAGGGAGUUCAUUUCCGAUCUAGGUGUCAUAUCUAGUGCAUCGGGACCAAUGAAGAUCUUCUGUGACAAUACUGGUGCAAUUGCCUUGGCAAAGAAAUCCAGAUUUCACAAGAGGACCAAGCACAUCAAGAGAUGCUUCAAUUCCAUCCGGGACCAAGUCCAGGUGGGAGACAUAGAGAUUUGCAAGAUACAUACGGAUCUGAAUAUUGCAGACCCAUUGAAUAAGCCUCUUCCACGAGCAAAACAUGAUCAGCACCAAGACUCCAUGGGUGUUAGAAUCAUUACUGUGUAAUCUAGAUUAUUGACUCUAGUGCAAGUGGGAGACUGAAGGAAAUAUGCCCUAGAGGCAAUAAUAAAGUUAUUAUUUAUUUCCUCAUAUCAUGAUACAUGUUUAUUAUUCAUGCUAGAAUUGUAUUAACCGGAAACAUGAUACAUGUGUGAAUACAUAGACAAACAUAUAGUCACUAGUAUGCCUCUACUUGACUAGCUCAUUAAUCAAAGAUGGUUAUGUUUCCUAACCAUAGACAUGUGUUGUCAUUUGAUUAAUGGGAUCACAUCAUUAGGAGAAUGAUGUGAUUGACAUGACCCAUUCCGUUAGCCUAGCACUUGAUCGUUUAGUAUAUUGCUAUUGCUUUCUUCAUGACUUAUACAUGUUCCUGUAACUAUGAGAUUAUGCAACUCCCAUUUACCGGAGGAACACUUUGGGUGCUACCAAACAUCACAACGUAACUGGGUGAUUAUAAAGGAGCACUACAGGUGUCUCCAAAGGCACAUGUUGGGUUGGCGUAUUUCGAGAUUAGGUUUUGUCACUCCGAUUGUCGAAGAGGUAUCUCUGGGCCCUCUCGGUAAUGCACAUCACUAUAAGCCUUGCAAACAAUGUAGCUAAUGAGUUAGUUACGGAAUGAUGCAUUACGUAACGAGUAAACAGACUUGCUAGUAACGAGAUUGAACUAGGUAUUGGAUACCGACGAUCGAAUCUCGGGCAAGUAACAUACCGAUGACAGAGGGAACAACGUAUGUUGUUAUGCGGUUUGACCGAUAAAUAUCUUCGCAGAAUAUGUAGGAGCCAAUAUGAGCAUCCAGGUUCCGCUAUUGGUUAUUGACCAAGAAUAGUUCUAGGUCAUGUCUACAUAGUUCUCGAACCCGUAGAGUCCGCACGCUUAACGUUACGAUGACAGUUUUAUUAUGAGUUUAUAAGUUUUGAUGUACCGAAGGUUGUUCGGAGUCCCGGAUGUGAUCACGGACAUGACGAGGAGUCUCAAAAUGGUCGAGACAUAAAUAUUGAUAUAUUGGAAGCCUAUAUUUGGAUAUCGGAAUGGUUCCGGGUGAAAUCAGGAUUUUACCGGAACACCAGGGGGUUACCGGAACCCUCCCGGGGGUUAAUGGGCCUUAGUGGGCCAUGAGGGAGAAGAGGAGGGCCGGCCAGGGCAGGCCGCACGCCCCCUCCCCCCAUAGUCCGAAUAGGACAAGGAAGGGGGGGCGGCGCCCCCCUUUCCUCUUUCCCCUCCCCCUUUCCUUCUCCACCAAGGCAAGAGGGGGGAGUCCUACUCCCGAUGGGAGUAGGACUCCUCCAGGCACAGCCCUAGGGGACCGGCUGCACCUCCCCCUCCCUCCUUUAUAUACGGGGGCAGGGGGGCACCCUAGGACACACAAGUUGAUCUACGUGAUCGUUCCUUAGCCGUGUGCGGUGCCCCCCUCCACCAUAUUCCACCUCGGUCAUAUCGUCGUGGAGUUUAGGCGAAGCCCUGCGCCGGUAGAACAUCAUCAUCGUCACCACGCCGUCGUGCUGACGGAACUCAUCCCCAACACUUUGCUGGAUCGGAGUCCGGGGAUCGUCAUUGAGCUGAAUGUGUGCUGAACUCGGAGGUGCCGUACGUUCGGUACUUGGAUCGGUCGGAUCGUGAAGACGUACGACUACAUCAACCGCGUUGUCAUAACGCUUCCGCUUAUGGUCUACGAGGGUACGUGGACAUUACUCUCCCCUCUCGUUGCUAUGCAUCACCAUGAUCUUGCGUGUGCGUAGGAAUUUUUUUGAAAUUACUACGUUCCCCAACAGCCUUUCCCCUCAAGAAGACAUGUGGCAUCUCUCCUCUUGAACACCAAGCAUCUGGGAUCCUUGAGAAAUACUUUCUACUAGUAUUCUCUCCCCCUGGAGAUCUCUCUCUCUCCCCUUGAAGGAUCUCUCUCUCCCUUUGAGAUGUGAUCUCUCUCUCUAAAUGAUAAGCUUUGAUGUGAUCUCUCUCUCCCCCUUUGACAUCAAUUUCCAAGAAGGGCUUGAUAAAGAUGUAACCUCUCUCUCUCUCUCUCCUCUGGAAUUUGACGUGAAUGGGUUUUAAGCAAUGAUAAAAAUGUGAUGCUUGUAGAGGACAAGAUUCAUUGAGUGGAGCUGGAUCAGAAGAAACACAUAAUAAGUGGCAAACAGUUUUUCCUGUUAUGAAAUCGGUGGCACCAAGUGGUAUGCUUCGGUGGUACCGAGAGUUUUCGGUUGGACCGAAAAUAACAAGUCGGUGUAACCGAGUUCAUCACAGAGAAAACACUUGUCACCUCAGCUCACUAGACUAGAAAGAUCUCACAAAGAUUUGCAAGGAAUUUACUGAAUGAUAUGCAAUAAAUGCAGAGCAAACAGAAAGAAAUCUAGAUGAAGGUUUUUUUUACUGAAAGGGGAAACAAAUAUGCAUGAGACAAAUGCAAAAACACAGAAGAAAACACAAGGGAACUUCAUCUAGAGAUGGUCGGCGACGAAGUCACCUAUGUUAGAGUAUAUUGACUUAGGAGUCAAGUGAGAUCACUUGAUCAUAGGUCAUACUCAUCGUUUAAGCUCAAAAUGGGGUUGCCAUUUUUCGUUUAAGCAUCUUGAUGUAUUCACAUCUUGUCGAGUUGCUUUAGCUCAUGACUUGGAGUAAAGCUUCUCUAAGAUGGAAUAACAUACCUUGGUUGGUGGUGUUGUCCAUGUAGUUGAACUUGUGUGAGUUGCUCGAGGUUGAUGUAGCUCAUCAAGAAUUUGGAGCACCACUUGGAAUUUGAGUCCAUCUACCUACAUGGGUUAGUUCUUGCAAGGAAGAGCACUUGUGUAUCCAAAAAUGACACUCAUGAAGUUUAACAUAGAAUUUGUCAAGGGAUAUGUUCGAAUGGUUUCGUGCUUUCUUGUCUUCAACCACCUUUGUGGAGACUUGGUGAUGUAGAGAUUGCUCAAGAUAUGAGUAGAUUACAACCUCAUGGAAUUAGAUUCAACCAAGUACCUACAUGGGUUAGAUAGCAUGCAAGAUACAAAUAUAUCCAAGACAUAAGAUUUUCAUCAUAAGAGAAAUAUCAAGGAUUAGUCAUAAGCUCAUGUCUUGCAUGUAUCCCAUGGAGUUUCUACUCCAAGUUUGAAGCAUCAAUGAUGUUCAAUUCUCCUCUCAACCUACAAAACACUUUCUCAUCAAGAGGUUUAGUGAAUAUAUCUGCUAAUUGCUUUUCGGUGCGAACAUUCUUAAGAUCAAUGUCACCCUUAGCAACAUGAUCUCGAAUGAAAUGAUGACGAACUUCAAUAUGCUUAGUUCGAGAAUGUUGCACAGGAUUAUGACCAAUUUUGAUAGCACUUUCAUUGUCACAAAGCAAUGGAACAUGUUUCACAUAUAUCCCAUAAUCUUUAAGAGUUUGGGUCAUCCAAAGUAAUUGAGCACAACAUGAACCAGCGGCAAUGUAUUCCGCUUCGGCGGUGGAUAAGGAUACCGAGUUUCGUUUCUUGGAAGACCAAGACACAAGAGAUCUACCAAGAAAUUGACAAGUACCCGAAGUGGACUUUCUAUCAACCUUGUCUCCGGCAUAGUCCGAGUCGGAAUAGCCAACAAGAUCGAAAGAGGCCCUCUUAGGAUACCAAAUGCCAAAAUUUGGUGUAUGUAUUAAGUAUCUCACUAUCCUUUUCGUGGCCUUAAGAUGACAUUCUUUAGGAGCAGCUUGAUAUCUUGCACACAUGCACACACUUAGCAUAAUAUCGGGACGUGAAGCACAUAGGUAUAACAAUGAACCAAUCAUAGAGCGAUAAACCUUUUGAUCAACCGGUUCACCAUCUUUGGUCAAAUCAAGAUGUCCACUAGUAGGCAUGGGUGUAGUCAUACCUUUGCAUUCUUGCAUAUUGAACUUCUUGAAUAAGUCCUUAGUGUACUUCGUUUGAGAGACAAAAGUACCUUCCUUAGUUAGCUUGAUUUGCAACCCAAGAAAGAAUUUGAGUUCACUCAUCAUUGACAUCUCAAACUUCCCCGACAUUAGCUUUCCAAACUUCUCACUAAAAUGAGGGUUAGUUGAACCAAAUAUAAUAUCAUCAACAUAGAUUUGGCACACAAAUAGUUCACCAUUAACCCUUUUAGUAAAGAGUGUGGAAUCAAUUUUCCCAAUUUCAAAGCCUUUUUCAAUAAGGAACUUGGUCAACCAUUUAUACCAUGCUCUAGGAGCUUGUUUAAGACCAUAAAGAGCUUUGUGAAGUUUGUAAACAUGAUUGGGUUUCUUGGGAUUGACAAAGCCAGGAGGUUGUUUAACAUAAAAUUCCUCCUCUAUUUCACCAUUUAGAAAAGCACUUUUAAUGUCCAUUUGGUACAAUGUGAUAUCAUGGUAAUUAGCAUAGGCAAGUAAGAUGCGAAUAGACUCAAGUCUAGCAACGGGAGCAUAAGUCUCACCAUAGUCCAUACCUUCGACUUGUGUGUAGCCUUGGGCGACGAGACGUGCUUUGUUGCAAACUACUUGCCCAUCUUCAUCUUGCUUGUUGCGAAACACCCAUUUGGUACCGAUGAUGUUGUGGUUGUUGUCGGGCUCCUCAACCAAUGUCCAAACUUGGUUCCUCUCAAAGUUGUGUAGCUCUUCAUGCAUAGCAUUUAUCCAAUCCGGAUCUUCCAGUGCUUCUUCGACCUUCAUAGGUUCAAUGCUAGAGAUGAAAGAAUAGUUUUCACAAAAGUUAGCUAGACGAGUUUUAGAGCGAGUGAUUCUCCCGGUUUGAAUAUCAUUGUAGAUUUGCUCGACGGGAUGGUCUUUAGCAAUUCUUGCUCGAACUCGUGAAAGCUUUUGCUUGGAUCUUCGUUGAACAUCUUCUUCAUCUUGUUCUUCUUCUUGGCCUUCUUCAUUGUUGGCGUUGUCGUUCUCUUGUCGUGGUGGAGAAGGAGGUUGUUGACGUUCAUAUUGAUGCACUUCCUCGUUUCCUUCAUCUUGGUAUGUCCCACUUGUGGAUGCUUCCGUAUAAGCUCUUGGUUCACCUUGUCAUGAAGUAGAAGCUUCCACUUGGACGGACGAAGUACUCUCCUUCACCUCCGUUGGACGAACCUUGCCAAUAGACAAGUCUUGGAUUGAUUCCGAAGGAUGUUUGUCUCCUACAUCAAUUGGCAGUUGCUCUACUUGCGAGCCGUUAGAUUCAUCAAACUUCACAUCUACCGUCUCUUCAACCUUUCGGGUGAAAUUGUUGUAGACACAUUAUGUGUGAGAGUUUGAGCCAUAACCUAGUAGGAAACCUUCAUGAGACUUAGGAGCAAAUUUAGAACGACGAUGCUUAUCAAGAAUGUAGCACUUUGAGCCGAAUACUCGAAAGUAUCCAACUUGGGGUUUGUUACCGGUGCGGAGCUCGUAUGCCGUCUUGCCGAGUAGCUUGUGAAGAUACAAGCGAUUUGUUACAUGACAAGCUGUCUCAACUGCUUCUGCCCAAAAGUGCUUUGGUGGCUUGUACUCAUCAAGCAUCGUUCUUGCCAUUUCGAUGAGCGUCCGGUUCUUCCUCUCAACAACUCCAUUUUGUUGAGGUGUGUACGUAGCCGAGAACUCGUGUGAAAUCCCUUCUUCGUCAAGAAAGGUGUCCACAUUUGCGCUCUUGAACUCCGUUCCGUUGUCGCUGUGAACCUUCUUGAUCUUCACUUCAAAUUGAUUUUGGGCCUCCCUAGCGAAGUUUUUGAAGAUCUUCUGAACCUGCGAUUUAUCAUCGAGAAAGAACACCCACGUAAAUCUGGAAAAAUCAUCGACUAUAACUAGACCAAAAGAAUUUCCAUCGAGACUCUUGUAAGAGUUGGGACCAAAGAGAUCCAUGUGAAGUAGCUCGAGUGGCCUCUUUGUGGUCAUGAUGUUCUUCAUGGGAUGCCUUCCUGCAACCUGUAUACCUGCUUGACAAGCACUGCAAAGUCUAUCCUUAUCAAAUAAGACAUCAUUAACUCCAAGGAUAUGAUUUCCUUUAAUAAGCUUGUCAAGGUUUCUCAUGCCAACGUGACCUAGUCGUCUAUGCCAUAACCAACCUUUUGAGGAUUUAGCAAUGAAACAAGUUUUAGGUUGAGCCUUUUUAGUGAAAUCAACAAUGUAAAGAUCACCUCUACGUAUACCGGUAAAGACCAUUUUAUGAUUGUCUCGAUGAAACACUUGGCAAUCAACUUCAGUAAAUAAGACACUGAAACCAAAGUCAGCAAGUCUAGAUACUGAAAGUAAGUUGUAUCCAAGAGAUUCAACGAGCAUGACAUUUUGUAUGGAGCUAUCAUGUGAGAUGGCCACCUUACCGAGGCCAACCACCUUACCCUUUGACUUGUCACCGAAGGUGACAUACUUUCGAGGACUAUCAUUAUCAGCAAGCUCACGAAACAUGUCUUUAUCUCCGGUCAUGUGAUCGGUACAUCCACUGUCAAGGACCCAUUCCUUUCCUCCUGACAUAUAUCCCCGAAGAUUUGCCAUAAUUCCAAAAUGUCUCCUUGCAUCAUCAAGAUCAAAGUCAGCAUCCUCAUCCUCAUCAUAGUAUCCAUGUUCAACAUCAUCAUGUGGUGGAUCAAAUCCUAGAGAGGGUGAUUCGUUAGAGCGAUUUUGACAAUGAUCUUGUCUAUGAAUUUUUAUAGCUUCGAAAAUAAUAUCAUUAAUAAUACCAACAUUUCCUUUGGCACGCAUAAGGUUUGUAAGCUCAAAUAGGCGAUCACCAAACAUAGGAUCACUAGUAUUCAUCUUACUCAAGGCAAUAGACUUAUGGAGAAUUUCAUCAAGAUUUUUCAAAGAAUAAUCAGGAAAUCGUUCCUCAAGAAAUUUCCAUAUAGUGUAGGCACAGUUAAGAGUAGGCAGUUUUAUAAUCAAGUUUGUAGGCAAGCCUCUAGUGAUAAGAUUAACAGUUCUAACAUUCCUAAUCAUGUCAAUUGACUCAUCAAGGGUAGGAUGCACAUGAUCAACACAAGGUGCACAAGGACUAGCAAUGUACUUGUUCAAAUGAUAUUGAUUGAAAAUUACAAGCAUCUCAUUUUUCCACUCAUGAAAAUACUCUCCAUCAAGAAUAGGCACUCUAUGUCUAAGACUCCCCAAAGUAGACUCAUCCAUCUUCCUCCAAUGGUGAUUAUACCAAAGCAAUGGAGACCAAUGCUAUGAUACCACUUGUAGGACCUUGAGAAGAGGAGUCUAGAGGGGGGGUGAUUAGACACUAAGUACCAAAGUUGCAGUUUUUAGCCUUUUUAAAACUAAGUGUAGUUUAGGCACAAGUUUAACAUUCACAACACAUAGCAAGCAAGCAUGCAAAGAGUAUAUGAGCAGCGGAAAGUAAAGCAUGCAACUUGUAAGAAUGUAAAGGGAAGGGUUUUGGAGGAUUCAAACACAAUUGGAGACACGGAUGUUUUUGGCGUGGUUCUGAUAGGUGGUGCUAUCGUACAUCCACAUUGAUGGAGACUUCAACCCACGAAGGGUAACGGUUGCGCGAGUCCACGGAGGGCUCCACCCACGAAGGGUCCACGAAGAAGCAACCUUGUCUAUCCCACCAUGGCCGUCGCCCACGAAGGACUUGCCUCACUAGCGGUAGAUCUUCACAAAGUAGGCGAUCUCCUUGCCCUUACAAACUCCUUGGUUCAACUCCACAAUCUUGUCAGAGGCUCCCAAGUGACACCUAGCCAAUCUAGGAGACACCACUCUCCAAGAAGUAACAAAUGGUGCGUUGAUGAUGAACUCCUUGCUCUUGUGCUUCAAAUGAUAGUCUCCCCAACACUCAACUCUCUCUCAUAGGAUUUGGAUCUGGUGGAAAGAGGAUUUGAGUGGAAAGCAACUUGGGGAAGGCUAGAGAUCAAGAUUCAUAUGGUAGGAAUGGAAUAUCUUGGCCUCAACACAUGAGUAGGUAGUUCUCCCUUAGAAAUGGUAAGUUGGAAGUGUAGGUUUAGUCUGAUGGCUCUCUAUACGAAUGAAGAGGAGGUGGAGGGGUAUAUAUAGCCUCCACACAAAAUCUAACCGUUACACACAAUUUACCAAACUCAGUGGGACCGAUUCAGCGGACUCGGUCAGACCGAUUUAGUAAACCUAGUGACCGUUAGUGAUUUUCGGUGGGACCGAAAUGCAACUCGGUAGGACCGAUAUGGUUAGGGUUAGGGCAUAACGUAAUCUCGGUGAGACCGAUUACACAAACUCGGUAGGACCGAUUUUGGUAAUUAGCUAACCAGAGAGUUGGUCAGGCAAACUCGGUUGGACCGAUUAUCAAACUCGGUGGGACCGAUUUUGGUAAUGAGUCAACCAGGAAGUUUGCAUUGUAAUCUCGGUAGUACCGAUUGCUCAAACUCGGUGAGACCGAUUUUGAUAAUGGGCAUACACAGAGAGAUUACAAUCCCAUCUCGGUGAGGCUGAGAUCCCUAUCGGUGAGACCGAUUUGCCUAGGUUUUGUGACAGUGGCUAAGACAUCAAAACUCGGUGGCGCCAGAUAGAAAGAAUCAGUGGGGCCGAGUUUGCCUUUAGGUUUAGGACAUAUGUGGAUGUGAGAAAGUGGUUGAGGGUUUUUCGAGCAUAUCACUAAGCACAUGAAGCAAGAGGCUCAUUAAGCAACACCUCAUCCCUCCUUGAUAGUAUUGGCUUUUCCUAUAGACUCAAUGUGAUCUUGGAUCACUGAAAUGUAAAAUGAAGAGUCUUGAGAUUGAAGCUUGAGCCAAUCCUUUGUCCUUAGCAUCUUGAAGGAGUUCCCACAUCCUUAGUCCAUGCCACUCCAAUGUUGAACUUAUCUGAAAUAUACUAGAUAAAAGUGUUAGUCCAACAAGAAAUAUGUUGACAUUAAUUACCAAAACCACCUAGGGAGCACUUGUGCUUUCAGAGACGAAGGAGGCCGACUCAAGGAGCGCGAGGCCAGAGCUGCGACGCUGGUCCGCAGCUACAGGCGGGGGAGCCACGACCGGCACGGGGUCGCCCGGGGCGUCCUCCUCGCCGAGCUCGGAGAUGACGACAGAGGAGCGCGCACCCCACGAGCCGCGGGGGGAAGGCGGUGCAGGGCCCAGGGGCCCGAAUCUGCGCCGGCCUAGGGCAGGGGACGCGGGAAGAGGGGGAGCGUCGAGGACGCGCAGGACGGAGGCGAGGCGAACACCCGUGCCACCAUGGUGCUCGGCCAGCGCCGCCCCAGCGCCGAGCGGGCGCUGCGCAGGACCCCUGAGAGGGAGCAUCGGGUUGUGCGUGAAUGGUGGCGGCUGGUCCUUGACGAGAGGAAUGUACUCGCCGUCGCGCGAAAAGGACUCGGCCAUGUCCCAGAACUUGAGAGACUCGACCGUGAUGACACGGGCUCCCAGUGCCCGCCCCAGGGCCACAUGUCGCAAGGCACAUCGCGGGGAUGCUCCAUGAGAACGACGGCCAGCUCCCGCCCCGAGAGCACGCCGGAGUCGACUUCCAUGAGCUUCCCGAAGCUGGAGAAAGCAGCACGAAUCCCAACCGGGUUGAGGAACUCGAUGGGGAAGGAGGUCACAGCCAGCAGGACGCAAAACCGCGCGCGCUGUGGCACACGGUCGAACAAUUCCUCGUAGAACAGGUCAAUGCGCGCGCCCUCAUGGGGGAACGACUGGCGCUGCAUAGCCUGCUCGUGCUCCGCCCAGGAGGCGAAGCGGAGGUACAUCACCCCGACGAAGGAGGGAACGACAUCGAAGGCGAGGUUGGGCAGCUCUCGAGCCAACGCCGCCUAGACCGCCACCGUCGCAUUGAUGAACGCCGACGGGGGUUCGAUGGAGACGACCGCAAGGCGCAUGGCAGCCUCGUAGUCUCCCUGUGGCGUGAAGACUUCGAUGAAGUCCGGGCGGUCGGAGUUGUUGCCGAAGGAGAGAGCACCAGAGGACACCACCGUGCCCGAAGGAGAGGAGCGGGACGAGACUGUCGUGGCACUGGAGGACAGCGGGUUCCGAGGCAGCAGCAGCUCAGGAGGCGGAGCCUGGACGGGCUCGGGGUGGUCUCCCAGCUCGGGCCUGGCGUGGGGGGACUGCGGGGAGGAGGAGACCAUCGAGGAAAGGGAGACAUCGCGAGCCGGAGGAGGCGGGGAGGCACGCCCCGCACUGCUACCAGGCUCGGUCGCGAGGCUGCGAGGCAGCAGCGAGGGGGGGACCCCGGUGGAGCAGCGGGAGGUCACCGGAUAAUGGGUCUGCGCGCGNNNNNNNNNNNNNNNNNNNNNNNNNNNNNNNNNNNNNNNNNNNNNNNNNNNNNNNNNNNNNNNNNNNNNNNNNNNNNNNNNNNNNNNNNNNNNNNNNNNNNNNNNNNNNNNNNNNNNNNNNNNNNNNNNNNNNNNNNNNNNNNNNNNNNNNNNNNNNNNNNNNNNNNNNNNNNNNNNNNNNNNNNNNNNNNNNNNNNNNNNNNNNNNNNNNNNNNNNNNNNNNNNNNNNNNNNNNNNNNNNNNNNNNNNNNNNNNNNNNNNNNNNNNNNNNNNNNNNNNNNNNNNNNNNNNNNNNNNNNNNNNNNNNNNNNNNNNNNNNNNNNNNNNNNNNNNNNNNNNNNNNNNNNNNNNNNNNNNNNNNNNNNNNNNNNNNNNNNNNNNNNNNNNNNNNNNNNNNNNNNNNNNNNNNNNNNNNNNNNNNNNNNNNNNNNNNNNNNNNNNNNNNNNNNNNNNNNNNNNNNNNNNNNNNNNNNNNNNNNNNNNNNNNNNNNNNNNNNNNNNNNNNNNNNNNNNNNNNNNNNNNNNNNNNNNNNNNNNNNNNNNNNNNNNNNNNNNNNNNNNNNNNNNNNNNNNNNNNNNNNNNNNNNNNNNNNNNNNNNNNNNNNNNNNNNNNNNNNCCGACGUACUGGGGGGCGACACGCGGUCGCACCCUAACGUGGGAAGCAAGGGAGGGAGCAGAGACCGAGGAGGGACAAGACGUGGCCUCGCCGAAAGGCUACGCCCAGCGGUACGGCGACGGGCCGCAACAGUAAUGACGCGGGGGGCGGUAGGUGGGCGGCGCUCGGCCGCACGACGCGCCUCCUCGCUCGUAAGGUGGAGAAGAAGCUUGACGGAAGCGCCGGAGGGAGUGCCGGCCGCGACGACGGCCUGGGCAAUCUCAGGGCUGGCAACGGGAACUGCAAAGACACCGUCACCCGCCGCCGUUGCAAAGAGCUUGGCGGGGGUCUCGCAGAAGAACAUGGGCAUGAGACAGGAGACCGCGGCCGCGUUGAAACAAGCAUCCGCCCGGGGCGGCGUGACGCAAACCGUGCCCAGCCUCAAGGCAGGGCUAGCGGCAGGAUCAACGGCGACCCCACACGAGAAGAGAGCGAGCAUGCGGGCAUGGAAGGCGGAACCAGGACGGGGGACUACGGUGAUGAACGGGCGCGUACGUGCAGGACGGAUGGUUCUCUUGGGUCACCGGCGACCGGCCCGACGGCCAACCCCCGGAGCGGGAGUGGUGGCUAGACCUACGGGGGUGACCGCCGCCGCCGCCGUGGCGGCAGCGGCGAGGGGCGAGUCGCCGUCACCGGUUUUAUCCUCAACUGACCGGGAUAGACCAACCUUAUGUUUCACAUAUGGUAACAAAUCUCAUUUUUGGUAAUACAAAUGCAAUCAAUACAAACACAAUCAAUUCACGUAUUGUAUAUCAUCUUUGGUAACACAAGAGCAGUUUUGGACAGUAAUUAAUCUCCUUUACACUGUGAAAAAAUUGAAAAGAGUUUAUGUCAAAAUAGGAAAGAAUUUUUGUCAAUCAAUCUCAGCGAUUAACGAGAGUACGCGGCCGCCCAGCUCCAACGCAGCGCUAAUCUGUAGUGAUCCAUGCCGCUUGACAUCUCGCGCAACUCGCAGGGCUGAGUGACUGCGUCGGAAAAUAGGGUCCUGGGUUCCUGGCCAUCCAUGCACCGUUCAUGUUACGUCGCCUCCGCUUCCCAACGGCGGUCUUCAGGGAGGACAUCUACGCUUAGGAGGAGGACACCGUUGCCGCCUUCCAUGAGCGGCUAGCUGGGCAUCCUCCCCGACAAGUUAAGGUCGUGUCAGGAAACUAUUUCCUGUUUUUUUUUGCCUACUAUGGAGUGUCUGUGGAGCACGUGUUUCACUUGCUGUAGCAUAACCAGCAAUCUAAUCUAUCCACUUCUUGAUUGUUGUGGUUGUAGCUUGCUCGCUUGCUCACUUGCUUGCUUGUAGCUUUGGACGGUUCAGCCGGUACUAGAUCAUACAAGCUUGUCCCGGGUACUGCCAGAUCUAAGAGCAUCUCUAGCAGACCCCGCAUCCCGCGGACCCGUAAAAUGUGUUUGCAGUUCGCGGGAAAACGGUUUUGCAGGCCGGCGCGAACUGCUGCAGAGGCAGACCCCGCAAAGCCGACCCGUAUCCUCUUUUACGUGUCGGCUUUGCUGGGUCUGCCUCUGCGGCCGUUUCCCCGGGCCUACAAAACUUAAAUUUGCACCUCAAUUUACAUUUCUUUGCUUUUUCAAUCACAUUGGAUACAUAGGACAUCACCAAAUCUUUGCUAGAAUAGCAAGACCAAAGAAAACAAGAACCACAAUUAUGCAUUUUAGAAGAUUUCCAACUUCCAUAACUGCUUCCACUAGUUGAAGUAAUAUCUUCUCCAUGCACUCAUUGUUGAUCUGUGGAUUCUUAAUCUUGCAUUCUUUAUUCUUCUUCUUUGGUUCUAAAGAAGUAGAUGUUGCUUCCCUUCUAGUUGCACAUGCAUGCGCUUCAUUGCCUUCGAUUGUAGUAAGGAGUGCACGAACGUCUAUCAAUUUUCUUUCUAUCAAUAAAUCAAUGUAUUCGCCUUUCCAAAAUCAAAAUGAGCAUCCAUCUUCCUACACACAUGAUGGUGUUCGAAAUGAGCUAACAUAAUUGAACAAAAAAUGAGCUAUCGAAAGGAGCCGAAUGAAAACACCACAUACCCCGUCGUUUUCGUAUUUGAAGAACACCCAUCCGAGGUGCUUCGGCAUGCCCAAAGUCAGCUGUAGCACUGUCCGCGCGCAGUCGUCGCACUGUAUGAGCGGCAUCGGCGAGCCAGGGCCGAGACCGACGGCCGACCAGCCGAAUCCAUGCCCGCAAACCGCCGGCGACGGUGAAAGGACGAACCCGCACCUGCAUGCGGCGAUGCGCCUUUGCCGGGGCUGCGCGAGAUGCUCCCCGACCAUUACAUCGCUUGGCACAACCACCGGCGGUCGGGAAAGCCAAAUUUGGCCGCCCACGAUGAAGGGCCGCAGAUCCGCAACUUCCCGGCCCGCCGACUCAGGAGGAGGGGGAGGGGGGCUGAGGGCAACCUCGUGCGUGUGGCGGCCUUUCGGCGUGCUCCCACCGGCUACUUUCGCCGGAAUCUUGGGCGGCCGCAGGGCGGCAGGGCGAGGGGGAGAUGGGAGGUGGUUGGUGGGGAAAAGCGCUGGCUGAAAUGUCCUCCCACCAAUCGCUCCCACUAUAUGCAGGGCACCGACGGGCCAGGGGGGAGGGGGGAACCCGCGUAUUCGCCGGUUGGGGUAAAGUUUUUGCCGCGCCCCUCAAAAAAUUUUGCGGGUCGACCGCGUUUGAGGGGUCUGUUCGGGGGAUUUUCCGUGCCGACCCUCAUUUUGGCGGUUAUUUUGCGGGUCGGGGCCUUUUACGGGGUCUACUAGAGUUGCUCUAAGCUCUACUACAAGGCUGGAUUUUUGAUCGACCAUGGCCCUUUCCCAUGUGGCAGGGACCUCCCCUGAUUGAUAGUUUAGAAUUCAAUAUCACUUUUGCAUUUAAUUAAGGUGCAAGCAUGAUUUCUUACACCUGUAACUAAAUCAAUAUGUCAGAUGGUUUCUUCAGGUGUAUACUUGUUAGUCUCAUUCAUGGGGCACGAUGGCCAAUUCUUUCGUAAGUGCGUUGGAGCAACCAAAAUUGAAGUGAAAACAACAUGCUUUUUUGCUAUUCCAUCUUAAAAUUAUGUCUUAUUUUUAAUCAGUGUUUUGGAUUCUUAUUCAUGAAAAAAUGUCUACUUUGAAAAUGCAAGUUAUCUGCUAAUCACAGAGACAUGAUUGACUUACAAAGAACAGAUUGCCAAAAAUGUGAAUGUGAUGAGUUACGUAGUUCUUAUACAAAAAAAAUCGGAAGAGAGUUGACUUUACUUGGUUCAUUUUUUUUUCUGUAGUAAUCUGUCAUGUAUUGAGUGAUUGACAUAGUAAUUUAGUAAUUAAAAAAGGUAAAAAUUCCCAGAACUUUUCUAGAAUCAAAUAUGACCAAGUAUUGUACUUGUAUAAAAAGUUUGGCCAAGGAAUGAUUCCCGUUGACUUCUAGGCAAAAAUAAAAUAAAAAAUAAGACGACAAUAUGGCAUGAAUAGUACUUCUAUUUAGCAUUUUUUUGGCAAAACGCGGGAUACAAUGAAAACCAUUCCAUGUGUAAUCCUUUUAUAUGAGUGCAAUACUUGGUCAUGUUUGAUUUCAUAAGUUCUGAGAUUUUUGGACUUCUUUGAAUUACUAAACCAAUUUUGAAUAUAGGAGGGUGUGGCAUCUGAGUGCUCCUAUGUAUUUUUGGAUUGAUGUACCACUAUUUUAUGCUCACUGAGAGUAGUAAUGACAGAGCUGGAUAUUCUCAUUUGACGUGCGAAAGAGUACACGAGUGAUAGUUGUGACAUGCUACCCUCUUGCAAAACAAAAAACAAAAAAAAAACUCAUGUGACCUACUGACCUUUUACCCUUGGG
rnacentral:lncRNA from 1 species